rnacentral:lncRNA from 1 species
CAGUACAAUGAAGGAGAAGGGAUAAAGGAGAGUGAUUGUGGGAGGAAAUGCACCUCUGAUUGCAAGUGUUUGGGGUACUUUUACCACAGGGAAACAUCCAAAUGUUGGACCGCUAAUGAGUUGAAAACCCUUGCUAAAGCCUCUAACUCUUCCCAUGUUGGUUACAUAAAGGUACCCAACAAGUGAUGGGAAUCCUAUGAAGUAUUUGUACUUUUUCCUCUGUAUUUUCCAGUUUCUUUGUUGUCUGCUAAUAAGUAUUUGUAAGUUUGAAUUACAAAUUAAAGUUUUAUUUAAAAGUAUCAAUCAAGUGUAUGUGUAGUCAGUAAACUAAAUUUGAAAUGCAUUGAGUGGACCAAGUGCAAGUUCUCAUGGCUCUUCUCUUUGGGCGCAUAAACGAAUAAAGACAGAAUGGUACAGACUAGUAAAGGAACUGUGUAGUGUUCACAGAAUAGGAAAACUAUACUCGUUUAUAGUUGUGUACACUCCAAAUUUAAAAAGAUUUGGGUAAAAUAUUAAGUUCAAAAAAUAAAUUUAAGCAAAAAAUAAAAAAUCUAUUUAAGAUAUGGGUUAAGUUUAAAUUUGAACAUUCAAAACUCGAACUCAAUUUCAAAUAAUUUUUUUAAAGUUUGUAAUAUUAUAUUAUUAAAAUUUUAUAUAUAAUCUUCUUAAAUUUUUUUAAUGGUUAGAUUAUAGUAGUAUUAUAGAAUUAAUUUUUUGUAUUAUAAAUUAUACAAUAUAUAAAAAUAGCAUAAUAUAAAACAUUACAAACUUUUAAAAAAAUGUCAAAUCAAGUUUGGGCUUUGAAUAUUUAAGCUUAAGCUCAUUUUAUAAUUUUGCUCAAACCCUCUAAAAUUUUAAGGGGACGUUCGGAUUUAAACAAGUAACUUUUACUAUGAACAGGUCUAAUUUAUAUUCUUUUUACUAAUAUACAAUAUACCUUACUAUUAUAAUCAAUACUUAUUUUUGUUAAAAUAUUAGAUUAAAUUAAAUUAAAUUAAAUUGAUACCAUUAACUUGAAACAUCGUGAUCUAAAAUUUCUAUAUUUCAAUAUAAUAUUGAGAAAAGGGGAUGGAAGAUAACAGAAUUUAAAUUCAUAUAAUUUAAGUGCUUGUGAGAAGCUUUCAUUAUUGCUAACAUUGAAUAUAUAUAUAUUUUUUAUUUUUUAAGGAAUUUAUUGGAGUGAAUUAAUCUUUUACAUUUUAUACAUUCAUUAAGAGAAUAGAUAUUAAUCACGAGUUUUAAAGGUGCUUUAUACUCAGGACAAAUAUCGAACUCUUAACCACUGAUCAAGCCCUAUACAAUUGAAAUACGAAAGCAAUAGCUAAAAGUUUGUUACCAGAUACAGCGCAACCUAAACAACAAGCGAGGGUCCCGUAGAGAUGCUUUGUUGCCUUAUCUUCCAACCGGCCCGCCGUUUAGAUGUAAUUGCACCACAGCUAAGCUUGACGUCUUCAAGACUUUCAAAGCCAUCACAAAAGACUCAAACCAACGGUGGCUUGCUCGUGUUUAUCCAUUACAAUAUCUCCUAACACUGAAAUAUUAGUAAAGUAUAUUUUUAUAAAUAAAAUAAUUAUAUUAUUAUGAAUUUAUAUUUGUAUAUAAAAUUAAUAUAAAUUUAAUUACGAUGAAAUUUGAAUUCAUGAUAUAAUAAAUUUUAAAUAUUUAAUUUUAGCAUUUUAACCAUAUUUAAUUUCUACCUCAAGUUUUAAUAAGUAUAUUUGUUACACAAAUUGCGGGUAUGAAUAAGUUGUUAAAUGACUUAUGAACAUCUCUUUUAUCAUUAAAAUUUUAAACUAAAAGUGAAUAACUUAUUUACCUAAAUAAAUAUAAAUGUGUAGUUAAGGUUUAAGGCAGGGGUGAAUAGAGGGGUAGGCAGGGGCUUUGGUCUCCUAAAUAUUAGAAAAUUGUAAUUCUAGUUCUCCAUAAAUGAUCAAAUUAUAAAUUAAUAUAAGGGAAAAUUCUGCUUUAGUCCCCUAAAAAAUUUCCGAAUUCACUCCUAGUUUAGGGCAUUAUUUUCAUAAACAUACUGAAUUAGUUGGUUGGAUCAAUUAAACCGAGAACCAACCGAAGUAGUACUAAAUACACAAAUCAUCAUCUAUAUCUAUACUGAAAUUAUUUUUAUCAGGUGAAAAUUAAUUUUUUCUCACAAGCAAAUUGGAGGGUGACAAAUGUCUCAUUUAUUUAAUUUUUAAAAAUUUUAAAACUACUCAAAAGACACUCAUAAUCAUGGUAAGAGUACUAGUAGAUUUCUGAUACACCAAAUAAUUAUCCAUUACUUAUUGGUCGAUUGAGUUGAGAGUCGCUUAUCAAUAUUUAUAAGAUUAGUUAAAAUAUACGUAUAUUGAAACCUAAACCACACUACUUUGGUUUCCUUGUUGAACUUCAAAAUUUUAUUUGCUUGCCAGUAAAUAUAGUUAAAAAAUAAUAAUACAAGUAGGAUAUGAUAUGAUUGAUUAUCCCCAGGAUUGUAGAUAUAAAAUUUCUUUUACAAUUAAAAAUAUAGAAAGGAAGAUCAGUUAGACACACUACGUGUCCCAGCUUGCUUUUACACAAAUUGAUAAUGAAUUUAUUUAUUAAUGUUUUGAUGACCAAGUUUUUCCAUAAUCUCAAGAUAAUUUACAUGAUGCUGACCCUCUAAAUUUAACUAAUUAAAUCCUAUUUAUUUAUCUUAAAACAUAAGAAAUUGUGAAAUAAUCUAACAGAGACAUGCACGUAACCAUAGGGUUUAUAAGAACUGUCUUGUCUGUAGCAAAUUGAAGAAACCUUUUUUGGCGUCUCACCUUCUAAAUUACGUCGUUUUAUUAUAGUAUAUAUGAUUGAUGCUUUAGCUUUGAUAAUGCAAGACAGGAAAUGACAGCAGGUGGGCCUGGAAUCCUGAAAUUAUUCUGGUCAAGCAAGACCCUUUUAAUUAUUAAUUUAGCACCCAACUUUUGCCAAACUAUUAAAGUUGAGGUCUUAUUCUUCCUCCACUCCCUGAAAUAUUGAGAACUUUAAAUUUAAGUCCUACUUUUCAUUCUAGUCCCUUUACUUGUUUGUUUGAAAAUUAAAGUACAAUUGAUGACACUUUUAUUGAAUUUGAGUUGUCAAUUGGACUUCAUUCAAUUUUUAAAUCAGACUUUUUAUUUUUUUUCUAAAGUUGUACUAUUACAAAUACAAUACAAGUACAAAUAUAUGUCCGAACAAUUAUAAUAUAGAAUUAAAUCAAUAUAAAGUACAGUGAAUAAAAAAACUAGACAAGAACCCUGCAAAACCCUCUCAUGGCAAAUGUGUAUGGUGAGGCGGGAGACUCAUCGCAAUUAUGCAUGAUGAACGCAAACCUGGGUAUUCAAAUUUAAAGAAAUUUCAUUAAUACUAUUAUCAAUUAAAGUUUAAAUUUUAAGUUAAACAAUCGGAGGGAUUUAAUUUUUGGAGUUAAAGACAUAGGGAUUAAAUUUUAAAGGUCUUAAGAUUACACAGACUGUGGGGAGAAUUAAACCAAACUUUAAUUACUCUCUUUUCAAUCGACUUAAAUAUUUAGCCUAAGUCAAUCCUAAUCCUAAAUUUAAGAGAACCUAAUUAAACAUUUAAAUGGCUUACUUUGAAGGGAAAAUUGUUCAGUCGGCGGUGCAAUUCGAAGAAUAAUUAUGGUUCCAUUGUAGCAGCCUCUGCUUUAACUUGGCUGACCAGAUUUUCGAAUGUCAACAUCGACUGCACCUUAAGAUAAUAUAAGGUCAAAAUCAUUGUGGAUCAGAUUGAUAUCUUCUAGUAGAAGGCAAAGAUUGUUUUUUUCUUUUUUCAAAAUAUUUUUGAAAACCCAAUUUUUUAAUCCCAUGAACUUAUUUUAUUAUACCUUUGAUGGUAUCCAAUGUGCCUUCAUUGAAUCCUUAUAAAUAGACCAUGCUUAGUUGCUCCAUCUCCAUAUCAUCAAAGCUUUCAUAGCCAAAAAUGUCUCUUUACCCUUCUCUCACCAUGUCAUUGCUGUCUUUUUCCUUCUUGUUGCUGUUUGCUUUUAGUGCCAAAGCUGUUGUUCCUCCAUCUGAAACUUUUAGGUUUGUCAACGAAGGGGAAUUUGGGCCUUUUAUUGUUGAAUAUGGUGCAGAUUACCGUGUCAUAAGCAUAGCUAAUGCCCCCUUCCAGCUUGCGUUUUAUAACACCACGCCUAAUGCCUUCACCCUUGCGUUACGCAUGGCUACAACACGUUCCGAGUCGCUCUUCCGAUGGGUUUGGGAGGCCAACAGGGGGAACCCUGUUCGCGAGAACGCCACGUUCUCUCUCGGGACUGACGGGAACCUUGUCUUGGCUGAUGCCGAUGGUCGGAUUGCUUGGCAAAGUAACACUGCCAACAAAGCUGUGGUAGGGUUCCAAUUGUUGCCUAAUGGUAACAUGGUGUUACACGAUUCCAAUGGCAAGUUCAUUUGGCAAAGUUUUGAUCAUCCAACUGACACACUCUUGGUGGGUCAGUCGCUUAGAGCCGGAGGGGCGACAAAGCUUGUGAGCCGGGCUUCUGCUCAAAACAAUGUCAACGGAGCCUAUAGCUUGGUGAUGGAGCCUAAACAGUUGGUUUUGCAGUACAAGGGAAUGAACUCUUCUAAACCACUUGUCUACUUCAAAUCAUCCGUUUGGCCAAAUACACAAGAUGGUACUUUACAAACUGUGACACUAAAUGUCGAGGAAACAAAUGAUGGUUUUGCAUAUGACGUUUUGUUAGACUACACAGUGGCUAACUCGUCCAUCGGGACCGGAAAUCUCAUCUUGACAAGGCCGAAAUAUAACAGCACAUUGUCGAUUCUUCGACUCGGGAUCGAUGGAAACCUGAGGGUUUUUACCUACUAUGACAAGGUUGAUUCACAGGCAUGGGAAGAGACUUUCACUCUCUUCUCUAGGGACUCAGUAUGGGGCAAUGAAUGUGAACUACCGGAGAGGUGUGGGAACUUUGGACUCUGUGAGGAGAACCAAUGCGUUGCUUGCCCGUCACCAAACGGAUUACUCGGUUGGAGCCGGAAUUGUCAGCAGAAGAAGGUGAACUGUAGGCCGAACGAUUUCGGCUACUACAAGCUAGAAGGAGUGAACCAUUUCAUGAGCCAGUACAAUGAAGGAGAAGGGAUAAAGGAGAGUGAUUGUGGGAGGAAAUGCACCUCCGAUUGCAAUUGUUUGGGGUACUUUUACCACAGGGAAACAUCCAAAUGUUGGAUCGCUAACGAGUUGAAAACCCUUGCUAAAACCUCGAACUCUUCCCAUGUUGGUUACAUAAAGGCACCCAACAAGUGAUGGGAAUCCUAUUAAGUAUUUGUACUUUUUCUUCUGUAUUUUCCAGUUUCUUUUUUGUCUGCUAGUAUGUAUUUGUGAGUUUGAAUUACAUAUUAAAAGUAAUUAAAUGUUUACAAUUAUGUAUCUAAUGUAUAUGUAGUCAAUAAACUGAAUUUAAAAUGUAUUUCCUGGAUUAAGUUCAAAUUUUCAUGGCUUUUCGGAUUCGGGUUCUUUUUAGUGUAUGAACGAAUCCAGACUGAACAGAAAAGGAACUCUGUAAUGUUCAAAGUAGAGUGUAAACUCAAUUUGAAAUCAAUGCCAGAAGUAAGGUGAUAAAGUUUAAUGUUAUAAAAGUUUAAACUAUAAAGCACCCACAGUAAUCUAUAUCUCCAUUUCUGAAUCUACUAAUCCUGAACCCGUGAACAAAAUAAAAAAAAUCAUGAACUCGACAAUGUAAGUUGGUUAAAACUAGAACCAGCUGUUUAACAUUUUGUGACCUCUGUUAAAAUGUGAAAAGAUUAGGGAAGCUACUGCUGAGAGGUUCCAAAACCUAGAAAACGGUCAACAAUUUUGGCAACAGAACUGGCCAAGCUGUCUGCAGCUUUCUGGGUGGAGGCUUCUGCAUAAACACGAAUGACAUCCUCUGUACCUAAUGGUCGUAUGAAACACCGGCCUUUAGGUUACUUCACUGCAUUUUGUAUAAAAAUUUUCAAAAAUAUGCCCCAAAAAUUAUAUUAAUUGAACCAUAUAAUAAGCCGAGUAUAAGCACCAAAACAUGCAUUGAGAUAAGAUCAAUGGCAAGAUUUUACCAAUUUCAGCAUCAAUGGCUUCUUGAAUGCCAGGAGCUACGGUUUCGGCAUUUGUUGUUGCAACAGCUGUUCUGUCUACAACUUUGACCUAACAAAAGCAAUGGAAACAUACAAGCAAAAUAUUUUUAAGCUAAUUUUGCGCACUUAUAUCAUACUUUCUCCCUUGUUAGGUGCAAAAGAAAAGGUCUUAGUCAAAAUAUGGAAAACUAGCGAGAAAAGGUAGAUAUGAUCUCUGCUAUAGAUGAGAGAGUGAUAAAGAAAACUCACCUUAAGUUGUCGACUAGGUAAAUCCUGGUAAAGUUAAUUCCAUUAAUGUAUUGACCAACCUUUUUGUUGCAAAAUAGCCUCAACCAAGAGCAAGCAACUCAAAGCAUCUCCAACAGCUUGGUUGAUCAAUUUUCUGACUGAAAGUAGUCUUAGAGCAGCUUUCUGUUGUUCAGAUCCUCAAAAAAAAAAUGAAAAUAAUACUCAAUAAACUAUCAUAGAUAAUUCUUAAAAGAAAAGGACUUCAUUCAUAAAUUACCUUCAGACGCCAAACCGAGUUCAUUGUUCCUGGCCUCUAACCAAGACAACCAGGAUUCCAAUAUCAAACUGAGCAGCUUUCUAAUGCAAGUGUUUUACCCCUGUAGGAGUAAAAAUGACUUCCAAACCCAACUGUUUGAGAUAAUCGGCGGAUGCUCCAUUAGCAUAAGCUGUCUGUACAACACCAAGUCGAGCUUGAGAAUUAUUAUUUGGUUUUUCAUUGCCAUCCUUGGCUAGAAUGCUUGGUUGGUCUUUGAUGAAUAAAGCAAAUAAGGAUAAUAUUUUGUCCCCGUCAACUAGAUCAAAUUUUCUGCUACUGUUAGUUGAGACCGAAAAAUAUACUAGGCGAUCAGCAUCGCCAUCCAAACGUGCGCACCUGAUAAAGAAAAAUUCGGAGCAUGACCAGAUUUCAUAACAUACACCAGAAAUACCAUGGCAACUAUCAUACGAAAAAUACAGUCAAAUAUCAUCAUGAAUCAACCAUCCAAAAUAGCUGUCGUACUAGUCAAUGAGUGAUCCUCGAAAAUUUGUAAAUGACAACGACAUGAAAUAUCAAACACCAGUUAUAAAAAGAAAAGAACAUUACAAGUUUGUUUCAUGUUUAGUUGUCAUCUUAUUUAACAUAUGCACUUGUCAGAAAGAGUUGAAAUUAAAAUGAGCCUUCAACCUUUGAUCAACAAUUUAGUAGAUGCAAGACUAAUCAGCUUGUAAACAGUUGAUAACAGUAAUUCACUCCCAAAUAUGAAGAGAUAGCGCACCUUAAUCCAACAUCAUUGGAACCAAUUCCACGUGGAACAACCUUCUCUUUCUGUACGUAAUCGGCACCAACCCCAUCAUUGAACACUAAAAUGUAGCACCAAUCUUGAAGCAGCCAAUAUCCCAACUCUUUGAACUGUUGAUUUAAGGAUGGAUGCAUCUGCCCCGAACCCUGAUGUCCCAUAUGAUAGCUUCACUCCUAAAACAAAAAAAAGUUAAAUUUUUUGUUAGCAACUAAAGUGAAAAGAGGUAUGUUUUGGUUUUUGAAGGAAAGGAAAGACCUUGAGGAGGAGAGAAAAGAGAGGAUGAGUGAAGAAGUGAGCGUUGUUACUCUUUUAUGGUUUCAAAGUAUCAAACUCCUGGGUUUGAUUAAAUUUAUACCAGAAAAAGGAAAAUUAAUUCAAUGGUCGCUUAAAUAAAACAGAUCUUGAAAUUCUGAGAAGCAGUCUCGAAUUUGAUACUAAAAUAAAAUAUUUCUUCUAUUAAAAAGGAUUUGAUUAUUAAUCUUCAUUGGUCUGAUAAGAUGAAUGUGUUACUAUGGUUUAACUAAUCAUUAGAACAACCUGUGGAAGCACAUUUUACAAAACAAUCUAUUUGAGGGAUUCCAAUUCCAAGAAUACAUGGCCAUGAAGGCAAAACAAGUACAAAAUUUGUAUGAGAAAGUAGCAAGUAAUGUAUCGUAUUAUUAGUAAAUCCUUCACAGAAAUGUGUCAACUAUAGACAAGUUUGCAGACUUUGUGAACCCAUAUGGACUUCAUUCUGCAUCUUAGGUUGAUUCCCACACUUCAUACCAAUUCGGAUUGGUAUACAAUUAUCCCAAAUUUGAGCAAAUGUUUGUGAUGAAAAUCUUCCAAACUCCAACUAAGCUGAUUCGAACAAUCAAGGUUUCGAACAGCAAUUGUUCAUCUUCUGCAUGUAUCAUCAAAUAUAUAUAAUGGUAGAGAGGCUCCAUAUGAAUUGUAACACCUCUAACCAAUUUAUAGCAUAAACAUCACUUCAAAUUAAGAUUAGAUCAUAAUCUUAUAUACAUCAUUAGCCGAAUUUUAUUAUUAUUAUUAUUUUAUUUUUUUAGUAAAAAAAUUACAAGAUAUUUACUAUGUUUUAAACUUACUAAUAUAAACUAAUUCAUAAAUUAUUCAUGACAUAACCAAUCAAGACAUAUAAUCAAGUUACCAAUCAUACUAAUUAUCAUCUAUACCAAAUAGACUUAUACCAUGGUCGAAUCAUUGAAACCAAACACAUUGAACAUUCAACCGAGAACAUAUAAAACUAAGCUCAAACAUAAUGUUCAAGCCAUUUUUUUUUUUACUAAACCGAAUUUAAGCAUGGAAAUUAGGCCAUUCUCGCAUGGCCAUUUAUAUACAUAACCCAAAAUCAAGCAUUUCAGUUAUGCUAUACAUGCCAUAAAAUUUAAUUCAAUUUCAACAAAAUACCAAAAGGAGUCAAUAGUGUGAUAGCCUUCUCUGACGAUCCCCAAGCUCGUAACCAACUUCCAAAAGCUAUAAAACGAAGAAUAAUCAUACACACAGUAAGCUUUCGCAGCUUAGUAAGUCAUAAGCAAACAUUAAUUAUAUGAACAUUCACACUAAAUCAAAUAGCCAAGUCAACCCAAACCUUAAUUAAAUAUACAUAUAUCACACUCACAAGUUUAUAUGUUACCAAAAUGUAUAGCUAAAUGCACAAUUACGCAUAAACAUAUAUAAUUAUCAUUUUUAAAUAUUACAACUAUAUCAAUAGGCCGAAACACUUAUGUUCAAUUGUGAUAACACAUAAUUUAUUUCUCACAUAGCUUUAAUUCAUCAAUUCAAGUAUACAACUUACCUUAAUUUCAUAACAUAGUAUGAAUACAUACCUAAAACAUUUAAUUCGAUUUCAGAUUCUGUCUUUAUAUCACAUUGCCCGUUGAACUAUUCAAAAUUAAUAUAGAUACUCGGAUAACUCGUAAAGAUCGUACAAUGCCUACGUCCUAGACGAGGUCUUGCAUGUAAUCAAAUAUCGAUGCCACUGUCCCGGACAGGGUCUUACACGUAAAUCAUAUACGAUGCCAAUGUACCGGACAUGGUCUUACAUGUAAAUCUCAAAUCAAUGCCAUCGUCCCAGACGUGGUUUUUCUCAAUAUUGUAUAACAAAAUUCCUAUGAUUCAUUAGGGCUUUUGAGUGUCGCAAUUAAAUCAAAUUAAGCUUGAAACAGGUGAUUCCAUGCAUAGUUAAAUUCGGCAACAACAACUCAUCAAUUAUACAGGGCAUUUAAUUUAUAAGUUCAUACUCAAUAUAUAUAUUGUUUCAGAUAGUGUGAAAUCAUAAACAAUGCAAGUCCCUAAAUCAGCCUAAUAGCAUCACAUUCGGACAAUGUUGUUAGCCCAAAACGGAUAGAUUAAUUAACACCAAAUGGUAACAUAACCACUUCUAAAUUUGAUUGAAAAAUCAAUAAAUUCGGACAGCUACUGUUAUUAAAUAAACGGCAUAAAUGGUAGUGCAUUGCAUAGUGAAUUUAACACAAUCAGGCAACUUUAAUUUAAGCUCACUAUCAUUUAAUUAGUGUAUAUAACAUGUACAGACAUUGCAUUUAUAGCUUGUUUCAAUCAGCUUUAAAAAAAAUGCAUUAAAUGUUGAAAUUUAUAGCAUUCAGACAACAAUUCUCAUUUUUGGACGGGGUUAACUUUUAUCAAUUAAUAUAUAUAUAUAUAUAUUAUUUACAACAGCAGCAGACCAAUUACACUAAAAUUUGCUGCGCAUUCAAUACAACAAUUGCAUGCUGAAGUAAUAAUCAUUCAUGCAACAGAUUUCAACAGCUCUUGUUUAUUUAUUCAUUAAAAUUUAUUUUUUUCUUUUUCAUUUCUAACUGCUGUAUUUUGAUAAAUAUAUAUAUAUAACAUGUGUAUUGAGCUACUAAAUUCUGCUUAGCAGUAUUUAUAUUCAAACAUUAUUUGCAUGUAAUAAAUAUAUUUUAAACAUAAAAAUUUUACAAAAUUUUCUUCGAAGAACUUACCUCAGACGAAGACGAACGGAUCGAAAGACUAUUCGACGACUUUUGAUUUCCCUCGUUCCAAAUUUGAUUUCCUCUUUUCUUUAUCUAAAUCAAUACAAAUUUAACUCUUUUAUUCACUAAAACAUUCAAUGCAAUCCACAUACUCAUAUUUAGGGUAUUUUACAAAUUAGCCCUUACAUUUUCACAUUUUGACAUUUGAGUCCCUAAUUCACAAAAUUACAAAAUACACAUAAUCUCAUUUUGCACAUGCUAGGCCGAUUAUUUAGACUCUUCAUAUAUGCCCAUAUGUUUCAUUUGUUUCACAUUUUAAUCCCUCUAUUUCAUUUUCACAUUUUAACCCAAAAUACUCAAUUUCAUAAAAAGUCCAAACACAAAACAUAUUAAUCUCAUACCAAGCUUUCAUAACUCAUCAAUUAACAUCAUUAAACCCACAAAAUCAUCAAUGGCAAAACUCAAAAAUCAUCAUCAAGUUCUGAAAUUGAGGCAUGGGCUGAAGAGAACACAUUGCAACGAUCACAAAAACUUCGAAAUUAUAAAAAAAAAAAUCGAGCAAACUACAUACCUAAAUCAAAGCUUCAAAAUGUGCCGAACCUAAACAACAACCAUGGCUUCUUUUCUUCUCAACAUUCGGCCAUGCAAGAGAUGAAAUACUCCACUAACCUAUUAAUUUGUUUUAUUUAUGUCAUAUUAUUACAUCAUUUACAAUUUUAACCUUAGUGAUUUAAUUUACAAAACACAUAAUGGUUGUCCUUUGCCGUCCAUAAGCUUUAAUAAUGGCCUAAUUUCCCUUUAAGGACUUAACAAUUAAUUAACCAUAGCAAAUUAGUACUUUAACAAUUUAAAUGCCACUUUCACAUUUUAAGCGAUAUAACCAUUUUUACAAAUUAAGCACACAAACGGAUAAAUUAAAUCAUGAAAUUUUCACACAUGUUAAUUCAUAUACUAUAAGCACGAAAAAUAAUAUUAAAAUAUUUUUCUAACUCGGACUUGUGGUCCCGAAACCACUGUCGACUAGGGUCUAAACCGGGCUGUUACAUGAAUACUUAUUUUAAAUCCAAGUAAAUUUAUAAAUUAUAUUAUGGAAAUUGCUCGCAAAAACAAUGAAGAUGAUGCCAUCGGUAAUAAAUAAUCAUUGCAAUUUACAAACUUGAGUGAAAGAACCCCUUGCAAAUUAUGAAUGAAAGAAAUAGAUUUAGGAUAAUUGAUUUAAGUUACCUUCCAACUGCCAAGCCAAGCUAUACAUUCAAGGAAUAAAUAUCUAAAUCCAUACUUACACAUCAGCCUAGUCUACAGGGGCGAAGCCAUAACAAAUUUCUAGGAGGGGCCGAAUGAAAUUUUAAUUUUUUAUAGUCUAUAUAUUUAUAAUUUUUAAAAGAUUAAAUCGAAUUUUUAUAAUUUUAGGGGGGGCCAAAAUACAAUUUUAUCUUUACUAAUUUAAAAUUCUUUUAAAAAUUUAAGGGCUUAAAUAAAAAUUUUACAUUUUAGGGUCCGCCUCUGCUAGUCUAUCUCUGUUACCACAAUCUUGCAUCCUGCAGAAGCCCUUGAAAAUCCAAUUAAUCUGUUGAAACCUUCCUCCCUUGCAAUAGUUAUAGCUGUCUGUUUCAACACCCUUCCAUUAUUUAAAAGAUAUUCAAUCAUUUUCAUGGCUUCUUUCCUCCCACAGAGUAUAUGAAUUUGUAUAAUCUCAAGAUGUAAUGUCAAACACUUGGGGACCCUUUCUGGUGGGCACAACAUGAAUCCCCGGUUGAAGAAAAACUACACAUAAAAAUACUCUUUUUUUUUAAUUACAAAGGAUGGAUUCAAAAAAAAAAAAAAACCAAGUGAUCACAACUUUACUUACAGUGUUAAAGCUGAGAUGUUUCAAAUGAGGUGACUUUUGAAGAAUGAGAGGAACAAUAUCAUUAUUUCCACAUUCCCCUGUUUCCACAUGCCGAAGACAAAAGCUUGUAAUGGACAAUAUACCAUUAUUAUUGGCAGUUAAAAAAAUCCCAUUAACGAAGUUAAUUUAGCUAGUUCUUCGUCUGUUUUCUUCUUCCAGAGACAAAUCUUUGUGGAACUCCCGCAAACAUGAUCGGUUAUCUAAGUAGAAACGAUCAAUCCAAAUCCAGACCUUUUCCCAUCCUUUCGACAAAACAGAGGUUUUGAUGACUUCUCUCAGUUCUAGAAAGGAUAGAAUGCGAGAUAGAACAUGAUGUUGGAUUAUUUUCACAAAGAGGGCAAGAUAUAGGCAAAUUAUUUUAACUUGGUUUUCCAUUAAUUAUUGGGCUUUUUUUUUUUAUCUUGUUUAUCAAGUGACUAUUUGAAUGAUAUAUGCUUAUACAAAUUACAUGUUUUGAAUAGAUUUUACGUGAGUUUUUAUCAUUAAAUUGAGUUUAAUAUGUUGGAACAUUUUCAAAUAUUUAUAUUGUUCCAAUAACUAUAAAUAAAUGGGUGUAAUUAAUCAAAAGUUAUAUUAUUUGAUUUUUUGAAAAAGAAUUAUAACUAUUUAAAUAAUAUUAUUUGAAUAGUUAUAAUAUUAUCUAUUGAAAGAUGUCUCUAUGAAGAGACAUGAAAUUUUCUAUAAAUAGGAAUGAGAUUUCAUUUGAAAUCACACAAACAAAUUCUAAUAUUCUUUAUUUUAUUCCUUCAUUUUCUAAUAUUAUUAAAUUAUUCUAUAAAGUAUUAAUACAGAAAUCCUUUGUAGAAAUUGAGUUUCUUGUUAUACAUUGCUCAGUGCGUAGUGGACUAUUCUCGUCAGUGCAAAACGCAAAUAGUCAUUGGCUUCAUUGUAUCCUCAAGGUUAAUUUUCUUGGAACUCAUUUGCACACCGAAGAUAGGUGGGGCGAAUAUAACCUUAAAGAUAGUGGCUUGAUACACACCUUAGAGCCUUGUCCUAUUUCUUUUUUUUUCUACUCAAGUUCCAUUCGUGUGUUCGAGAUUUUCCUCACAGGAGAUUUGUACUAAUAAUUUUAAGGUUAAAACGUUUCUAGAAGUGAAUUCUAGUUCAACAGACCCUUUGCCUUUGAUUGCUACGGUGGAAGAAUUUCUCAUGUACAAGACAUUGUCAUUUUCACAUUGUGUGAACUUUGUGAACAUGCUUUUGUCUUUGCACACAUGUUUGGUUGCUCCGAUAUCAAUCCACCAUGUAUUAUCAUCUUGUGUCAUAUUAAUUUCAGAUAUCUUUGCAACAAAAUUUUUGUUAUUAUCAGCCUUAGAAGAUGAUUUCUUCUUUAAAAAUCGACAUUCAUUCUUGAAAUGUCCCGGCUUACCACAAUGAUAGCAUGAGCCUUUUUGUUUCUUUUUAAACUUAGGUGCUCUAUCAGUGUGUUUGAACUUUCUCUUGAAUGGUUUAGUAGUCUAUACUUCCUCCGUAACAUGCACUUUGGCAUUUUCAGAAUUUAGAUUUUGAUCUUGCUUUUGAUAUUCUUCUUCAAUACAAAGAUGAUUUGCCAAAGCCUCAAGAGAUAUUUCCUAUUUCUUAUGUUUUAGAAUUCUUUUAAUGUCUUUCCAAGAUGGAGGAAGUUUGUCUAUUAUGGAGGAUACAACAAGCAUUUCAUCCAUUUACAUAUCAUAUUGCUUGAAUUGAUUCAGCAUCUUUUCAAUACCACGGAAUUAGUCCAUAACAGAACGACCAUCAACCAUUUGAUAAUUAUUGGAACGACUGGCAAGAAAUUUCAUACUUGUAACAUUUUCGGUCAUGUAUCUUGUCUCCAAUUUGUCCCAUAAUUCUUUAACGGUGACUUCAUUUUGGUAGGUGUAAUCAUUCAGAUAAACCAUUCAAUACGUGGCCCAUGCACAUGUAAUCAACAUUGUCCCAUUAUUGCCUUUCUUGAGUUGUAGCAACAGAUUCGUUUUCAUUCUCUUCAGGUCUUGAAGUAUGCAAAACAUAAGCAAUCUUCAAAGUUGAUAAUAAGAAGUGCAUCUUUUUCUGCCAUCAUCAAAAAUUGUCACCAUCAAACCGAUCAAGUUUGACAAAGUUGGAAGCCAACUCCCUUAGUGUUCCACUUUCAUGUGUUGUGGUAGUCAUCAUGAAUUAUAACCUUAAAAUUGUUAGUGGCUUGAUACACACCUUAGUGCCUUAUCCUAUUUCUUUUUUUUCUAUUCGAGUUAAAUGAUGUAUUUAUGUACCAGAAGUUAGGAAGAAUUUAGUGUCUGGAAGUCUGUUGAAUAAGUUUGGUUUCAAACUUGUUUUUGAGGUAGAUAAGUUUAUUUUGUCUAAGGAAGGAAUUUUUGUAGGGAAAUGGUAUAUGUAUGAGAGUAUGUUCAAACUUAAUAUUAUUAAUAAAAAUAAAAAUACUAUUUCUGCUUAUAUGGUUGAAUCUUUUUGUUUAUGGCAUUAUAGAUUAGGUCAUUUGAAUUAUAGAAAAUUGAAUAACAUGUAUAAGUUAGAUUUAAUUCUUGUUUUUAAUAAUAAUAUUGAAAAAUGCAAUACAUAUAUGUUGACUAAAAUUACAAAAACAUUUUCCCUAAGGUUAAAAGGAAAAAAAAUUGCUUGAUUUGAUAUAUAGUGAUUUAUGUGACAUGCAUAAUACUCCUACAUUAGGUGGAAGAAAUAUUUUGUUACUUUUAUUGAUAUUGUUCUAAAUAAUUUUAUGUAUAUUUAUUGCAUUCAAAAGAUGAAACGCUUGAUAAAUUUAAAGUUUAUAAAUCUGAAGUUGAACUUCAGUGUGAAUCAUUUAUCAAGUGCUUAAAAUCGGAUAGAGGUGGAAAAUACUAUAAUCCAAGUUAUUUUGAAUCUAUUGAAAUUGUCUAUCAAGUUUCAGCCCCUUACACACCAUAACAAAAUGGUGUAGUUGAAAGGAAAAAUAAAGUCUUGAUUGAAAUGGUAAAUUCAAUGUUAUCAUAUUCAGGUCUUGGAUAAGGUUUUUGGGGAGAAGCUGUUCUAACAGCUUGUCAUAUAUUGAAUAGAGUUCCUAAUAAGGAAACUAAAAAAACUCCCUAUGAACAAUGGAAGAAAAGGAAACCAAACCUUAAUUAUUUGAAGGUUUGAGGUUGUAAAGCUAUUGUUAAAGUUCCAACACCUAAACGUAAAAAGUUAGGUGAAAGAGGAAUUGAAUGCAUAUUUAUAGGAUAUGCACAUAAUAUCAAGGCAUAUAGGUCAUGGUAAUUGAACCAAAUGAUUCAAUUUCAAUUAAUACUGUUAUUGAAUCAAGAGAUGUUAUUUUUGAUGAAAAUAUAUUUAAUUCUAUAUCAAGACAAUUAUAGUCACAACAAUUAAUUCAUUAUUCAAAUAAGAAUGAGAUUCCAUUGGAACAAAUUGAUAAUAAUGAUGAAUCUUGUUAAGAAUUAAGAAGUAAGAAGAUUAAAAAGGUCAAAGAUUUUGGACCAAAUUUCAUUAUGUUUCUUAUAGAAGGAAAAGGUGAAAGUAUUUGCAAUAAGAUACCUUAUUGUUAUAAUAUGGAAUCUAAUCCUAUUACAUUUGAAGAGGCAAUGAAAUCUUAAGACUCUCCUUUUUAGAAAGACGUAAUAAAUGAUGACAUGGAUCCAAUAAUGAGAAAUCAAAUUUGGAUCUUAGUUGAUCUUCCACUGGGUUCCAAACCAAUAGGUUGUAAAUGGAUCUUCAAAAAGAAAAUAGAUGUCGAUGGAACCAUUGAUAAAUUUAAAGCAAAGUUGGUAGCCAAAGGUUUUACACAAAAUCAAAGAAUUGAUUACUUUGAGACUUAUGCUCCAGUUGUAAUAGUCUGAUUUUGGUUUUAGUCGGAACAGUGGUUUCGGGACCACAAAUCCGACAAGGAAAAAAUUUAUUUUAAAAUUAUGACAUGGGUUGCAUUAUGAUAGGAAGGUUGCAUGAAAAUACUGAUAUGAAAAUUUUAUUGAUUUAGUGAUUAAUUAAGGAAAUGACCUAUUUGUAUAAAAUGUAGAAAUUGAAUUCUAGAAGCUAGAAGGGUUAAAUAGCUAUGAAAUUCAAAACAAGAGGUCCUUAUGUGGUAAAUAGACUAUCAAUCAAAAGAUGGUAGGUUUUUAUGGAUGAAUCAUCCAUGGAAUUUGAGAAAAAGAAAAGGACUAAAUUGGAAUUUGGGGAAAUUAAAAGAUGAUAUUUAAUUACAUGAACAUAUCGUCUUUUUCUAUCACCUUCUUCCCUAAAAUUUACAUGGAAACCUUAGGAGAGAGAAAAUAGACUUUCUUGGCAUAAAUCGGUAAGUAAUCAUAUCUCGUUUUUAAUAAUUUUUAUAUUUUUGAGAUCGAGAUAACAUGUUCUCUUUAUUUUGAGGAUUUAUUUGAAAAUUUAUCAAGGUAUGAAAACUAUGUCAUGGAUGAACAUGCUGAAAAUUGAAAAUUUAUGGUAGAAAAUGAAAGGUUGUUAGUAAAUAAACAACUUUUACAAAGUGAUUUUGGGUGAAAUUGAGAUUUAGGGACUAAAUGGUGAACUUGAGAAAUUCAAAGGAAAAAUUUUGACUUUUGUGAAAUCUAUGGACUGUUAUAGAUACGUAUGAAUUUAGUUUAGGCUUGAAAAGGGGAUUGAAUUGCAUGAAUUUCAUUUUUCGAGCCUAGGGACGAAAUAAGAAUUAAUGAAAAGUUUAGGGGCGAAAUGUAAUUUUUCCAAAGAAUGAUUUUUGAACUAAAUUGAAUAAUGUGAGUGUUAAAUAAGUUAAAUGUGUUGUUAUAAAUCAAGAAAGACGAGAAAUUGACCUUGAUCGAUAAAAAGAAAUGUGAAAAAUUAUGAAAAAGUACAUUCAGUAACAAAACGGUUUAAACAACAAUAGUUGUGUGACUUUGAAAAAUUACCAAAAAUGGUGGAAAUUGAAUUAGAGGCUGAAUGAUAUAUGAAAUUAAAGCUGAAUGAGUCUAUUUUCACAUAAAAGAAACGGUGUACGCAAAAUAAUUUUAUAUUAUGAGAUAUUUGAACUUGGGUGAGACAGUGUCAGAAUGAUUUCAGAAUCCCCUAUUCUGACUUGGAAAAAUCAUUAAAAAUUGUAAAAAAGUAAUUAUGGGUUAUAAUUUAUAUGUUUAAAAUCCUUAAUGAGUUUAUUUUCAAUAGAAAUAAACGAGGACAUCAUUCAAAUUCUGUACAAUAAGAUAAUUAAUUUUUAGUGAAGAGAGGUCGGAACUAUCGAAUAGUGAAAUAGGGGGAACUUUAAAGAUUAAACUGUACUUAUUGGCUGGACCAAAAAUUUUAAAAAUUUUAUGGUAAGAAGAUAUGUGAGUCUAGUUUCAGGAAAAUUUAACGGAUCUUAAUUUGGAGCUCUGUAGCUCGAGAUAUAAAUAAAUUAGUGACUCUGACUUAGACAAACAACUUGAUUUUACAUACAGGAAAAUAGUGAUAGUAUGGAUAGUGUUAUUUAAGUGUGUUAUACACAUUAAGGAUGUGGAAUGGAAAGGAGGAGGAGGAAAAUUGGGAAAUAUAUGAAUGAUUUGUUUAUAAUUGGUCAUAUGCUUGAUUAUAAUUGUUAAACGAUGAAAUAGAAAUGAUGCUUAUAUUUGUGCAUUAUUGGUCAUGGUUUAAGCUCAUUUGUGAAAAUAAAGUUUCAUAGUAUGUGUGUAUGGUAUAUUCGGUAUAUGAUUUGGCAUGAAAUAAUGUCAUGAAUGGUUUAUGAAUUAACACAUGUUGGUAAGCGUGAUACAUGAAUAAAUGUUGUGCUCAUCCAUGCUUAUAAUGCUUAUGCUAUAUGUGUAUUUGGCUAACAUAUUUGGUGUACAUGCUUAGGCUUUGGCCAAGUAGUGGCUGGAUUAUGUCACGUUAAAUUUAUAAGUUAUGCAUUGAAAUGGUAAGUGCCUAAUUGAAAAUAUGCUUGUGAUCAUGAAAAGGGUGGUAAGGUUUAAAUUAUGUAAUCUCUAGUGAAAUGGUUUAUCAUGUGGUUAGUUUAAAAAAGAGUUAUGUUUAAAUACACUAGCUUGUGACUAUGGUUGAAUGAUAUGUUUAUAUCUUGUGUGAUGUGCAUAGGAAACAAUUGUGGAAAGGUAAUGAAAUAGUAAGUUCAUAUGACUGAAAUUUAAUGAUUAAAUGUUAAUUUCAUGAAUUAUAUAAUGUAUGAUGAGAUAUAUUUGUUGAUGAUUUGAGAAUAAAAUAACAAUGCAAAAACCGAAUAAAUGAUCAAAUUGAGCGGAACGUCGAAUUUGAGUACUCCUGAUCAGUGACAAGUGAUGAGUGGUAGCUUUAGCUACACUUAUCUGAUCAGUGACAAGUGAUAAGUGAUAGCUUUAGCUACACUUAUCUGAUCAGUGACAAGUGACAAGUGAUAAGUGGUAGCUUUAGCUACACUUAUCUUAUUAGGGACAAGUGACAAGUGAUAAAUGUGAUCCGUGUAAGACCAUGGCAAGGCUAUGGCUUCGAAAAGUGCUAAGUGAUCAUAUGCAAGACCAUAGUUAUACUAUGGCAAAAUGGAAGUGAAGUACUCAAUUUUCCAUAACCGUUUCCUAAUUUGAUUAAGGAUGGUAAGUGACAAAUAGGCCCAAAAGAAUUAUAAUAAAUGGAUAAGUGGUAGUGAAUUUAUACCAAGAUGAUGAGUUGAGUUGAUGUUGUUAUUUAAGCUAAAGUGAUAUUUUCAUUGCAAAAUUGAGAAUUUCAUAAAUGUGUUAAUGAAUGGUAUAAUCUACAAACGUUGAGUUAAAUGGUAAAUAUGUAUUAGUAUCGAGCUUAAUGGUUUGAAUUGUGAACAUGAGAAAUUUGCGAAUUGAAUAUUGAAAUGGAAAUGAAAUAUUGAAUUAUUAAGACUUGUGAAUUACAUGAAUAUGUAUCGGGUCUCGUAGGUCCUAUUUAUUAUGAAUAUAAUAUUUUGAGGAUAUAUUAUGAAGAAUUAUAAAAGCAUGUUAAUAUUUUGAGGAUAUAUUAAGACUUGGUUAAAUACGUUUACAAAUGUAUAUGUUCUAGUAAUGCCUCGUACCCUAUUCUGGUGUCGAAACGGGUAAGGGGUGUUACACCAGUAGCAGGAAUUGCUACAAUUAGACUCUUAAUUUCACUUACCUCUAUAUAUAAUUUGGUUGUUCGCCAAAUGGAUAUUAAAACUACAUUUUUAAAUGGUGAAUUGGAAGAGGAAGUGUACAUGGAACAACUAGAAAGAUUUGUUGUUCCAUGACAAGAGCAUAAGGUAUGUAAGCUUCUUAAAUCUUUAUAUGAACUUAAACAAGCACCAUAACAAUGACACCAAAAGUUUGACAAGGUUGUUUUAGCUAAUGGCUAUAAAAUAAAUGAAUCCAAUAAAUGCAUAUAUAGUAAAUUUGAAAAUGGAAAAGGUGUCAUAAUUUGCUUAUAUGUAGAUGAUAUGUUCAUUUUUGGCACAGAUUUGGAACAAAUAGAAAACAUGAAGAAAUUAUUGUCUAACAACUUUGCUAUGAAGGAUAUGGGUGUAGCAAAUGUUAUUUUUGGGAUUAAAAUAACCGAAAAUGAAAGCACUAUAGCUUUAUCGCAAUGACAUUACAUUGAAAAGGUGUUUAAAAAGUUUGAUCUUUUCAACUGUAUACCAGCAUCUACACCCAUGGAUCCUCAAAUAAAAUUAGUAUCUAACGUUGGUAGGAAAAUUGAUCAAUUGAAAUAUGCAAGUCUAAUCGGUUGUCUUAUGUACAUAAUGACUUGUACAAGACCAAAUAUUGCAUAUGCUAUUGGGAAAUUGAGUAGGUACACAAGUAAUCCAAGUAGUUUGCAUUGGCAAACUUUGAAUAGAGUACUUAGGUACUUAAAAAAACCUAUUAACUAUGGAUUGUGUUAUAAUGGAUAUCCUCCAGUUUUAGAAGGGUAUUCGGAUGCUAGUUGGAUUACAAGUUUGGAAGAUCAUGCAUAUACUAGUGGAUGGAUCUUCAUUCUUGGUAGAGGAGCCAUUUCUUGGGGUUCCAAGAAACAAACAUGUAUUAUUGAUUCCAUCAUGGCAGCAUAAUUUAUUGCAUUAGCCGCUGCAUCUAAAGAAGCAGAAUGGUUAAGAAAUUUGCUUUAUGAUGUACCUUUAUGGCCUAAGCCAAUUUCACCUAUUUCUAUCCGUUGUGAUAGUGAGGCUACUCUAGCAAAGGUAUCUAGCCAAGUAUAUAAUGGAAAGUCUAGACACAUUGGAUUAAGACAUAGCUAUGUCCGACAAUUAAUAUCUGAUGGAGUGAUCAUUAUUAAUUAUGUGAGUUAAUUGAAAAUUUGGAGGAUCCUUUGACAAAAAGUCUUGCUAGAUGUGCAAUAAAAAGGACCUCAAAAGGGAUGGGACUCAAGCCCAUUAACUAAAGUCACCCAUGAUGGAAACUCGACUCAAUGCUUAGUAUAACGUCAAGUCUUGAGUUCAAUGAGACAAAGUACAUUAUUAGUAUGUGACUGUUAGCACUAUAAAUAAAUUCAUCCUAAGAUUAAAAUGCUAGGUACCCGUAAUGAUAAGGGAAGGAUGAGCAAUGUACUCUUAAUGGACCCAUAACAUAAACAUGUUAGAGUGUUAUAAUUACGGGAACACUCUUGAUGGGAUCUACCUAUGUGAGUGGAAGUGUGGCCGCUUCUAGGAGCUCAAGGGCUUGGCUCUGACAGCACUCAUGAAAAGAGGAGAUAGACACAUGGUCAUAAUAGUGUCCCUAGAUACUAUGCAUUGACUGAUGUUGAAAUCAUUGUGUGAGAUGUGUUCGGUUAAUCAAAUGGAAUAGUUGAUUCAAAGUUUAGUCUAUUAUGCAAUUUCGAUUAACUUUAACAUGUUUUUACUAAGUGAAGGUUCAAUCGUAAGAUACCUUCAUUUAUGCUAAUUGAUUUCCAAGAAUAUCAAAAUCUAAAAUAUUUUGAAAAUAAAGGAAGAUUGUUGAAAUAUUUUCAAAUAUUUAUAGUGUUCCAAUAACUAUAAAUGAAUGGGUGUAAUUAAUCAAAAGUUAUAUUAUUUGAUUUUUGAAAAAGAAUUAUAACUAUUUAAAUAAUAUUAUUUGAAUAGUUAUAAUAUUAAAUGAAUAAUUAUGUGUUUAUUUGAAAGACGUUAUUAUUUAGAAAAACACCUAUGGAAAGAUGUCUCUAUGAAGAGAUAUGAAAAUUCUUAUAAAUAGGAAUGAGAUUUCGUUUGGAAAUCACACCAACAAAUUCUACUAUUCUUUCUUUCAUUUCUUCCUUUUCUAAUAUUAUUAUAUUAUUUUAUAAAGUAUUACUGUAGAAAUCCUUUGCAGAAAUUGAGUUUCUUGUUAUACAUUGCUCAGUGCGUAGUGGACUAUUCUCGUUAGUGCAAAACACAAAUAGUCAUUGGCUUCAUUGUAUCCUCGAGAUUAAUUUGCUUGGAACUCAUUUGCACAUCGAAGAUAAGUGGGGGCGAAUAUAACCUUAAAGAUAGUGGCUUGAUAUACGCCUUAGAUAAUUGUCCUAUUUCUUAUUUUUGUGUUCAAGUUGCCUUAAAUAAUCAACCUUUUUUUCGAUCUUAAACCUUUUGCAAUGGUCUCUUUUCUGAACAAUGAAAAAUAGUGGCAAGGCACCAUCAUACGAGUAAAGCCAAACUGUUGGCUCCUAACUUCUUCGGACUAUUUGAGCCUAAUUGCAGGUGAGUAGGGAAAGGAGUUCUUUUCUUGGGUCAUUCUUUGCCUUUUGACCUAGUCCAAACUUCAUUGUGGGUAUAAUUCUUGCCCAUUAAAUUAGUUGUAAUUAUCAUUAUUAUUAUUUUUAAAUAUAAUUUUUUUAUUGUUAGUAAAAGAGAAAUGGGAAAAUCCAAAAAUAAGAAUGGAAAGGAAAAUAAAUUCAAAAGGAAUGAAAAAAUAAGAAAAUUAAAUUCAAAUGGAAAGGAUACGAGUAAGGACAAGGAGGUUGAGUUAAGCCUAAUUUAGUAUUGUUUCUCAAAAAUAUUUUAGGGAUCAAAAGCGCUUUUGGAACUAAAAACAAUACUAAACAAAUAACUUUUAAAAUAAUAAGUGCUUUUGAACCAAAAGCAAAAGUAAUUUCUUCUAGUUUUGACAAAAACGCUUUUAAAAACAAACGGUACUCCACAUGCUCUAUUUUUGGAAGUUCAACAUUUCUGUCGAAAUGAUUGUAACCGUGAUAUUGGGAAGAAAAAAGAAAACCUUUUACUCUUAGAGUGUAUAUAAAGUCAAAUAAAUUUUGACAUUUCAGUAUAAUUGAUUGUAAGCGUGAUAUUAGGAAGAUAAAAGAACACCUACGAAGUCUAUGCCAAUUGACUGACUCUUGAGUUUUGGUUCUUCUUCUUGACAAUUAAAUCAACAAAUCAUAUAUACUGAUUUGUAAUUUCAUUCAUUUUUUCUUUCUUUGCAUGCCCCCAAACAACAAUUUUAAAGUUUGAUCUUCUUUAUGCAAAAAACUUGACUGAUUUCUUUGUAUUUUUUAAGUUUUUUGCCACCUUCCCAUUUUUGAUUAAAUUCUUUGAAUAUUGAAGGCAUUUGAAAAUAGGAGGAUAAACGCGCUUUAACAUGUUUGAAUCCAUGUUCUCCUGCACUGACAAUAAUACUAAUAUCAACCGAACUAAAACUCAAUUAACUAAUUAAUUAAAAUAACACCAUUUGGCUAUGCCAUUAAGCACUUAUUUAUUAUUAGCAGGAGUAAAUCAACGUUGUAAAAUCCUAAUCUUACAUUAAGAAUUUGCAAGGAUGCAAAAAGAUUCAUAUUUCAUUUUUGCCAUAUUAAACUCUUAUGGAAUCCACUAUUCAUUACCCACUACUCAUUAAUAUCGCUGGGAUUCAAUUAGAUUUUGAAAAAUAAAAAUUAUAUAGUUAUUAUACAGUAUUAUGAUUUAAAGAAAAAUGAAUCAAAACUUAUCUAAAUAUAAAAAAAAAAGUAAUCCAACCAUCAAUUCGGUUCAUUGACUUUUAAUUUUUUUUAAAGGAUAAAUUGUUUGUAGUAUUUUAAAUUCUUUUUACUAGUGAAUGGAAAAUCAAAUCAAAUACAUUUAAAUAAUAAUUAAAUCGGGAGUUGAUCGCCGCAGAGGCGAGCGUAAGCGUUUUUCCCGGUGUUGUUAAUCGCCUUUUGUUUAUAGUUUCUUUACGCGUUUUCAAAUGAAGGAUAUGUUCCUUUCAUUUUUGUUUUUAGGUGUUCGUGAACUUUUUGUCUAUGGAAGAGACGUUUCUCCAUUAAAGUUUUCUUACAUCAAUUUUUUCUGCUUUUAUGGCAUGGUUAUGUCUGCUUCUAUAGCAUGGUAGUUUGGGUUUCUAUUCAGUUUUUCCAGUUUUUCAAGCGUUUGGGAGAAAGAGGGUAAAGUCGCGAUUCAACCAUUUUUUGAGUGGUUAUGGUGGCAGUUUUGGCAACAUUAUCCAUAGAGGGUGGGGAAAUUGACGAGUGGCAUAUCAAUUCCAGCAAUGAGGAGAAGGAAAUCGGGCGAGGGGUAAGCAAGUGAGAGGCAAUGCCGGACGACAGGGAGAUGGGUUACAGGAGAAGCCUUACCAUUAAGUAUCGUGGUGGGUCAGGUGGACUUCAAAUCGUUGAGAACGUUGCCACUGGAUUGAGGAGUGGACACGAACUGGAUGCUAUCGUCUUGGAGUAGAACAAGGGAAGAUUGGGAGUAAACAGAUGGUGGUGGAUCUUGUCGGAGUCAGGGACUCUCAUCAUUCAUUUGUCACAGGAGAUAUGUAGUAUCAAGAGAGCUCUAUACGUAUCAAUGUGAAAAUAUCGGUUUGUACGAGGGGCAGCUCAAACAGCGGUUGGAUGCGCAUGGAUCUUCCCUUUGAUAGGAUGCUAGUCAAUGAAAGGGACCCCGGUCAUUAUCUUCUUGUAAAAUACAAACGACGAAAAGUGUCCAUGGAGGUGAUGUGGUGCAUGGGUCAGGCCUAAGGGUGAUGGUGGCGGGAGGCGGAGGAUUGGAAUGGAUCUCAAUGGUCAAGGUGCUUACCAUCGACUUGUUUACUACCAGAUGCUUAUGCCACCAUCUACAACUAGCAACGGAUGUGGACAGAGGUGAAUUGGGAGCUUUACAAUUUAUUGGUAUUCUAGUUUUUAGACGAGGAAAGCUCAAGUGCGGUUGAAAUCUAUGUUUUUCUUUUUAAAUUCUAGGGUUUGUAUUUUAUUUGGUUGUUUUUUUAAUUUCCAUUUGUAAAACGUUACCUUCUUACUUCAAAAAUUAAUAAUUAAACCGAGUAUUGUAUAAUUCAUUUUUUUCGAUUUUUUCUCAACCAUAAAAAUAAUUAUUUAAAUGAAUAUAUAUAUAUAUAUAUAUUCUUAUAUUCCUUGAAAAAAAUAUAGUCAUAUAUACUUAUUUAAAUAUAAGAAAAAAGAAAGGAAAAGAUACGAAUAGAAUUUGUCCUCUUUAAGCAUUUGAUUCACCUUCAUUUUUGUUCAUUUUUCAGUCCCAAAUUUGACAUUUCUAUUCCCCCAGUAGUCUCAAUCAAAUUCACUUUAAUUUAUCAUGUCCGAAUAUUAUUCAUCUCCUUCCAUUAUUUUUUAUUCAUAAAUAACCUCACACACAUAUUGUCAUGAAUCUGACUAAAAUGGAACAUUGUACUAUUCGAAGAUAAUUGAAAAUAUGAAUAAUUAUAUAGAACUGAUGUGGACCGCCAAAUUAAGCAUGUCAUAUGAUAUGAGCAUGAGAGUUUUCAUUUUUAAUUGGACAAUUUUGUUGUAGUUGAAUUUUUAAUUAUGUGGAUGACAACCUCUCUUACUGUGUAUAUAUAUAUAUAUACUUAGGAUGUGAUAAGUUAAUUUUUGAUUAUCUAAUCAACCGCCCACAUAAUAAUUGAGAAUGAGAUAGCUUAUUCAGGUAACUUAUCAUAAAUAUGCAUAAUUGAAAAAUAUAUUUAUGAGGCCUAAUUGAAGGGCUACUACUACUAAAAAUAUAAAUUAAUUAAUAUUGUGAAAGUUCAAUAUAUAAAAAAAAAUUUAUUGAAGUCCUUGGCACACUCAACUAUAAUUUUUUUAAAGGUUUUUAUAUUUUAAUAAAUUUAGAAAAAAAAAAGUUUUUUAUCCAAAUAAUAUAAAAAAUAAUUAAUUAUGAAAAAGCAUAGAAAAUCGAUCAAUUACGAAAAUAGGCUUUUGCUAAAGUGUUCUAACGGUGUCACCUGACAAAUUGGCAGCACUAGACUGAAAUGUGAUGACCUAAAAUAUUCAGAGACAUGAUAUGUAAAUUUUUUUUUUCUGUUGGCAGCUGAAAGAAAGGGUUUAAGGGUACUGCCUGACAGUGUAGAGACACUCUACACCAAAUAAAUUGUUUCAUAAACCUCUUGUUUAUUAUUUUAUUUUAUUUUAUUUAAAUUGCUCUAGUUUUCAGAAAGGAGUAACAGCACCAUACUUAUACAAGCACACAUAAGGUGUUCUUGUUUUUUUUUUUUUUUCCAUCAUAAGCAUGCUCAAAAUAUGCUUUGAGGUUUCAGAAAAAAUAUGGAACUUGCAACUUCUCAGACUCUUAACUGCUACCUCCUAAAUGGGCAGAAGAACAACUUUUCCAAUUUUUGUUCUUUUCCUACUGUGAUGUUUCACCCGAAUGAAUUGAUGCUUCUGUUUCACUAGAUUGACCGUAUGAAAUGGCCACUUCUUUUGGUCUUACCUGCAAGAUUAUUCGGCAAGAAAAGAUACUGAAGCUUCACCAUCAUUACAAAGAGUUCAAAUUUUCACUUGAAUAAAAGAUAUUAUUAGCAGGCCCCUUUUAUCCCAUAUCAAUGAAAUUUUUCCUAUGAAUGCUGUACCAAGUGAGGUUCUAAAUUUUCAAAGACUUUUUCUGAAAUUUCAUAAUAAAAUAUUUUAGUUUAAACAAAAUCUGGUAGAAAAAUGGUAGGCGGGGGUUUAUGAAGCAAUUUAUUCAUUUAUAGUUCGGUGCCGUCACACUCUCAAGCGGCACCCUUAAACCCUUUUUUUCAUCUACCAACAAAAACAGAAAAAUUGCAUAUUCUUGAAUAUUUUAGGUCAUCACAUUUCAGUGCUGUCAAUUUGUUAGGCAGCACCGUCAGAACACUGUAGCAAAUGCAUAUUUUUGUAAUUAAUCUGUUUUCCAUACCUUUUUCGUAAUCAAUUAUUUUUUAUAUUAUUUGGGUUAAAAACUCAAAAAAGAACCUACACAUUAUGAGAAUGAUAAAAUGUACUCUUGGUCAUCUUAGAUUUACCAUUUUAAAUAAAAACACAUUGGGUUUAUAUAUCAAUUUUUUAUAAUUUUAUUUCGUCAAUAAUUUUACUCAUAUAAUAUUAGUAAGUGUACCAUAAUAAAAGAAAAACGCACUAAAAGAUUUUCUUUUUGGUGAAUUACAAGAAUAGAAUAAAACCUUAACAACAAUGCAAUUAACACAAUUUGAACCCAAGCCGCACCUAAGAUAAUGAACACGUUAGCCAUCAACACAAAUUCACACACUAAGGGUCUGUUUGAUUGACGGAAUUGAUUUUCCGGAAAAUCAUUUCCAACUUUUCCAGCGUUUGAUUGGCGGAAAACAUUUUCCAUUUGGAAAAUGAACUCCAAAACAAUGGAAAAUGGGUUACAUUUUAGGGAAAAUGUCUUACCCUUUCAAUUUCCGUAAGACAUUUUCCGUGCUUUCCUCUCUAUCGCCUCCUUCAUUCCUUCCUUCAUUUCCGGUAGAAAACUGCUUCUGUUUAUCGAUUUUCCAGUAACUUGUUUUUUUAAUUAUUCAAUACUUGUUUUUUUAACACAAUUACAAAUAAUUUAUUUGAUAUUAGUUUUUUUCAAUUUAUAAUGAUUAAUAUUGUAGCUUAAUAAUUGAGUAUUAUUAUAAAUAAAUCAUUGCAAUAUAUGUAAAAAUAAUUUAAAAUAUAUUUUCCGAAAAAUAUUUUCAAAAAAUUUGUCAAGCAGCAGAAAAUAUUUUCCAGUAAAUCAUUUUACAAAAAAGUAAAAUAUUUUCCAGAAAUCAUUUUACGAAAAAUAUUUUACUGGCAAUCAAAUAGACACUAAUAGUAUUUAAGUUGAACUUCCAACCAAAAAUUUUAAAAGAUUAUAGUGGGACAAAAGAAAGAGAGAAAUAAAGGUAGCUCUAAAUUGACAAAUUUUAGAUGAAUAUUUUUAAAAAAAAUAAUAGAAAUUAGAACAAGGGCAAUCAACCACCACCAUGCAUUGUGAUUUUCAAAAUGGUCCCCCAAUGGGCCAUAAGAAGCAUGCUAGAUUCAAUGUAUUUAACUAAAAUUUAGGCAAUAAUAACUCAUUCAUUGACUAAUUUCAUAUUUAUACUUAGCCUCCCAUUGUUAAGGAAAAAUCAGGCAAUCACAAUAAUAAUACUUUCCUUAUUGACAAUUUAAGAUAAACAAAAAAAAGGGUAAGAUUUAAUAAUAGAUGGAAUAUUUCACUCCAUAAAGCUUUCCCAAAUAAUCAAUAAACCUAAAGAAGUUUCUAAAAACGUUUUUUCUUUUAAUUAAUAAAUGUGCUAUUUGAGGUCAAAUUUUUGAAAAUUAUUAUUUAAUUGAAAUAGGGUUUAAUCUUACUAACUUACAUUUAUUUAAACCAGACAAUAUUAAUUUAAAUAAAUGCAUUUUUAUUUUUAUUUUUUUAGAUUAAGUUUAAUUUACUACGUUUAUUAAUGCUCAAUUUGGCAUAGGCUAGUUAAGCCACCCCAGAAGUGGUUGUUGUUGAAUCUUCCAACGAAUUAAAAAUAAAAUAAUGGUCUUCACAUUAUAAUCAUAAUUUAACUUUUAUGCAAGUCAACUAUGUAUCUAGAUCCAAAACUUUAACCUAUUCUAUAAUAGGGUAUUGGAUCUAGCGUUUUGGGGAUCUUUAUGUGUUAUUAUUGUUAGUAUGGUUAAUUAUUAAAAAAAAAAUCAGUCAUAAAAUUAUUACUUGAUUUUGCCCCUAAAAAAUCAACUAUCUCCCCAAAAUAAAUUAUGCAUUGUGGUCUGAUCCGAAAUGCAAAUGGUUUGCGGUAUCUGGGAUUUGUAAUGGUCUUGAAUAGGCUUGGAAGAUUGAUUGUCGAGAUGUAUUGUUAGAAUCAGAUUGUUUGGAAGCGCUGCACCAUAUUAAGGGGAAUCUGAUAAUUAAUCAGUCCAAAUCGCACAUCAUAAAUGCGAUUCGAGAUUUGUUGAGGCGUGAUUGGAAUGCAAUUGGUUGGCUGAUUGUUUAGCAAAGGCUACAGAAGGAAUGGAUAUUGACUUUCACCUUUGGUCUUAACCCCCAGAUUACCUUACUGGUUUAUCUGUUCCUAGAUUAAUUAUUAUGUAAUAGCCUAGAAUGCUCAAUUUGCAAAAAAAAAAAAAUAUGUAUUUUUAAACUAUCAUGUGGUUGAAAAAAUCUGUUAAAUCUGUAUUUUUUUAGCCACACAAUAAUAAAGAAACACAUAAAAAAAUUUUGGCUAAUUAAAUUUUUUAUGGACCAAAUCCUGGAUAAUUUAACAAAAAAUUAAAACAAUAUUAUGAUUUGAAUAAACUCCUAAUCACACCAUGUUGAUUAUAAUAUUAUAUUAUUAAAUAAAUUUGUACAUAUUUGGAAGGGAAAUUAUUAUGUCCACAAAUUUAUUUCCAUAGUGGACCGACAUUUCCUUUUGUCAAUUGGUCAAGUCACAAAAGGUUUAUGGAGACUAGAAUCUCAAAAGAAUAUCCGGUAAGAUGCUGUUUUUGACUUCCACACACAAUCUUCACUUAUCACAUCUUUUUCAGAAAUAAAUAUAAAUUUGAUAAGUUGUCAAUGGUUGAAUUAAUAAGCAACCGACCCUAUCGUCAUGCAACUUUACCUCCCGUUAUUACCUUUGUUCGUAUCCUUCAUAGUCAAUAUUUGACUUCAUUGCACUUUGAAAAUUAGGCUCCUCUUUUAUCAUUAAUUAAUACUUAGGAGAAGCAAAGCAGUAAUUUUUUACAAAAGAGAUUAUAGUUGAGGAUAAAAAAUAAGUUCUCUAUAUGAAAAAGAAUUAAUUUAUCUUUAGAGUUUUACUUAUAAGUUAUAAUAAUUCAAUAGAUUUAAGUUUGUGUAUACAAAAUCGAUAGUCUUAAUUCGAUUGGUAUAAACAUUGUUGUCAAUGUAAGAAAACGUGGGUUCGAGUGCACUGAAGUACAUUAUCCUCCUAUUUAUGGGUUGGGGAGAGAUUAUGAGUAAUUCUAGGUAUUGUAUCAAAAAAUAGUUUGUGUAUACGAGAACUGGGCCCAAAAGCUUAACGGAGUCCCCUCGCGUACUAGUAAUUGUACGGUUAGAAAGAGAAAUAUCUGUAGGAAUACAACAACAUAUAAGGCUUAAAUACGCCAGUCCUUUGGGCAUUCUUCAAGCGCUAGCAAAUGAAACAAAAUUGCUUUUCAAAAAAAAAUAUUCUUCCUUCUAGAGGCAAUACUCGUUUAUUUGGUAUUGGACCGACUAUAGUAGUCAUAUCAAAUUACUAAGUUUUUUAGUAAUUCCUUUUAGCUCUCGCAUUAUUUUAGCCGAUCUCAAUAUCAGUAUUUUCUUUAUGGAUUGUCAUUUCAAGUAUUGUUCCCGUUGGGCUUCUUAUGUCAGGAUACUAAAUAAACGUCUAGAUGGAAGAAUAUUUUUUUGAAAAGUUGUUUUGUUCCAUCUGCUAGCGCUUGAAAAAUGCCCAAAGGACCGACGUAUUUAGGCCUAAUACGUUGUUGUAUUCCUGUAGAUAUUUCUCUUUCUAACCAUAUAAUUACUAGCACGCCUAUUGUGAUUCCCAAUACAAGAGUCAAAAUAGGGAUCAACAUCCAUAUGAUCCCAUAGACCUCUUUUAAAGAUUUCAAUGUGUAAAAGGAAUUGAUAUCUUCUACUUCUGUCAUAUAAAUUAUCAUUUCAACUAUCCACUUCUCCCAUAAUGAUAUCUAUGCUACCUAGUAUCGGGAAUCACAAUAGGUUAAAUACUAUAAAACGAAAAAGGGUUAAUAUAUAUUUUGACACCUAUAUUUGGUUUUAAGAUUCAAAUUGGGAGCUAAUUUUUUUUUUUGUACAAUUAGGCAUCUGAACUUGGUUUAUUUUGAUCCAAUUAAAUACCUAAGCUUGACAUCUUGGUUCAAAUUGGUACCUAAAUUUGAGUUUUUGGAUCAAAUUAGUACUUACGAUAAAUGACUUAUUUGAAUUAAAUUGAACUAUAAAACUAGGUUCGGGUACCUUAAAUACCAAUUUAAACUUUAAAGCUAAAUUUAAAUAACUAGGAAAAAUUCUAAAAACCCAUCUAUAAAUUAAAUAUAAUUUAUUAUUAAAAUCUAAUUUUAAUGUGACAAUGGAGUGUUGGCACAGUAUGAAAAUAUCUCAAUUAUAACCCACAAAACUAUAAAAAAAAAAAAAGUAAUGAUGAAAAUUAAAUAACAAUGAGGAUUUGAUUACCAACUACUCAAGAGUACUCGAAGCUUUCCGUUUUUAUUAUUAUUAAAUGACACAAUAAUAUAUUUAAGGGGACAUUGUUGAGCUAACACCAGAAAAAGGUAACAUGAAAAAAACCUAAUAUUUUAGGAAAUUGUCUGUACUAAUACCAAAUUACCAACCAAACCACAUGGUAUUACAUUAGAUUCAUGUCAAUGUCUUUGUCUUUUUUUCAUCACAUGCAUGAGGAGUUGUGUCAUUCAUGCCCUUAUUUGAGCACAUAAUGCUACACAUUUGUCAUUAUGGUUGACCAUUACAUAAAUAUUAACAUAUACAUAAUAAUAUGUAGUUUAAUAUAUAUUUUUUAUUUAUCUAUUUAUUCAAUGAUCACUUAAAAAACCAACAAGCCUGGCAUAAAUGUGAUGUGACAAUUAACUAAUAUGGAUUUUUUUCAUAUGAGGGAUGCAUGAUUGGAUUAUCAUAUAACUAAUUUUUGGAAAAUAAUUUAUUUAUCCAAAUAAAUAGAUAAGAAUUUGUGAUUAUAAUUAUAUGUGUAAAUUUUAAUCAAACUUACAAAAGAUCCAGUAAAUAAAUAAAGUACAUAAUAACUCAUAGUUAAGUGUAUUUUUUUAAAAAAAAAUCAAAGUUAUUUUCAACUAAAAUUCGAAAAAAAAUAUCUAUGUAAUGAAUUUAUUAAAAAUAUAUAAAUUAAAUCUGAUUUUGAUUAAAAUGGUAAAAUUAAGAUAAUAAAGAAUAUAAAUUCUUGGGUUUAAAACAUAUAAUUUUGUAUACAUUUUUCUAGAUUUAUCAACAUAUAAAAAGAUAUAAAUACUCUCGAAAUAAUAUUUGUUGCUUUAUAAAAGGAAUAAUACAAUACAAUGGGGAAGGAGAAAUGGUUUACAAAGAUUGAAUUAUGAACUUCAUGCCAAUUAACUUGAAACCUACACAGAGGUGAAUCCAAGGGGGCUGGCAGGGGCCCCGCCCCCCAUAAAAUGGAAAAUUGUUGUUUAGGUCAUUUAAAAAAUUUAAAAUUUUAAAUUAGCAAAAGUAAAAUUGUACUUUGGCCCCCUAAAAUUAUGAAAUUUUAAUUUAAUCCUUUAAAAAUUAUAAAGAUUAGACUAUUAAAAAUUAAAAUUUUGUUUCGGGCCCCAUUAAAUAAAUUUUUUGGCUGUGAAGGCAUUAAAAAUUAUAGUGUUUUGAGUUCAAAUCUAAUCAAGCUUUUUUUUUUCUAAUUUUACAUUAUUUGAAAUGAUAAAAAUAUCCUCACAAUAACGUUUAUUAUUUUAUAAAAAGAAUAGUAUUUAAUAAUUGUUCAACUGGAUUGAGAAUUGAUACUAAGGGCCUGUUUGAUAAAUUGAAAAUUUAAGUGUCGAAAAAUAAAAUAUUAAAUUUUUAAUGCUAAUUUUUAUAAAUGGUGAAUUUGUAUAAUUUGUUUGAUAAACUAGUAAAUACAAGUAAUGAAUACAAUUACGUUAUUUGAUAAAGUAAAUACUGAUUUUAAAUUAUUGUUAAUUUUUUAAAAUUUUAAUUUUAUUAAUAUAAUAUUUUAUAUUAUUUUAGAUAAAAAUACAUAUAUGAUAAUUUUAAAUAAAAAAUUAAAAUAAUGAUCAAAUACGAUAUCUCACUAAAUUAUGCAUAUUGAUUAGUCCAUACAAUUUGUCCUAAUACAUAUAAAAGAGAAGAUGAUGAUAGUGAAACUACAUUAAUUAUUUAGUUUAUUCAAACACCAUCAUUUGUCAUGUUGAUGCUCGUGACUGCUGACAAUUGACCAACAUGGUUUAUUAAUCGAAGGCGACACUCAUGUGAAGGCAUAAUUAUAAUUUAACAAGGAUUAAAUUGAAAAUUCAAUAUUUCGAUAAAUAUUAAAUUAAUUUUUUUUAAAUAUGUGUAUAUAUAAAAUUUCAAGUCUAUAUUAUUGAAAAUAAUAUUAAAUUUACUUUUGAGAGAAACGAAAUUUCAUUAACAAUCAAAGUGCAAAAACAAAUAAUAGUAAAACUUUAAACUUUAUAUUUUCAAGUCUUAUUAAAUUUCUACUAUUAUUUAGUACCUCAAAAUACAAAAUAAAUUUAUAUAUUUUUAUAUAGGUUAAAGUAAUUUCUAAAAAUUAGGAAUUUAGUUUCUUUAAUUUUUAAAUUUCAAAAUUUAAGUCCAACCAGGAGCGUAUCUAGGGGAUCUGGCAAGGUCCUUUAAAAUUUUAAAUUAGUAAAGAUAAAACUACACUUUGAUCGCCCCUAAAAAUGAUAAAAUUUUGAUUUAAUCCUUUAAAAAUUAUGAAAAAUUAUAAAAAUAUAGGCUAUUCAAAUGGUGAAUUUGCAUUUUUACUAUUGUAAAAAUUAUAAUUUAAUUUCGGCCACCUCUAAAAAAUUUUCUAGCUUCGCCCCUGAGUCCAACUAAUAAUACUAUUAAUUUUUUUAUUAAAUUCGGAUUAAUUACAUGGUUAUAAAGUAAGUUUUUUUUUUAUCUCAAAAUGUCGUAACAACAAAUUUAACAAAAAAAAUUAAUAAUAUUAACGGUUAGACUUGAAAUUUGAAAACUGAAAAAUAGAGUGACUAAAUUAUUAGAAAUACAAAUACAAAAGCUAAAUUUUUAAUUUUAAAAAAGUAGAAGCAAUUUUGCCUUUUACAUAUAUUCUUCAACUUUUAAUAGUGUGUGCUUACGAGGAUUUACAAAUUAGAAAAUUGGUUGCUUUGGCUUUUGCUUUUGAUCCAACUUUUUUUAUACAUAGAUAACCCAUCAAAAAGUACAGCAUUGAUCAAUUAAUCGGUAUCCCAUUCAUCAGCAUAUCCACUAGAUUAUCCUUUGUUAAAGUUUUAUGCUUCAAUUUAUAAUACAUUUUUCAUGAACUAUGCGUUUACGAUGCAAGCAUCAAUGUCUAUUAGUGGAACAAUGAAGAAUCAAUUCUUAACCUGUUUUCUACAUUUUAUUAUAUAAAAUAUUACGAGGUAAAAACGUUUGAGUGCGGAUUGAAUCUUAACUUAUUUGGUAUGAGUAUUAUUGUCAAUGCAAGAAGAUGUGAGUUCGGAUACGCUGAAACGUAUUAUCCACCUAUUGAUGGAUUGGGGAGGAAUUAUGGAUAGUUCUAGCGAUGGAUGGAUUGCGGAGGGAUUAUGUUUUCGAAUCACUCCUCCAAAUUUUGUUAUUUUUAUAAAAUUAAGGAGGAUAGUAAGUACCUAUAUCUUGAGCUUAAUUUGGUAAUAAAAAUCAAAAUAAUUUUUUUUUAGAAAAAAAAAGUUAAAAUAUGUUAUAGUUUUUGUACUUUUAAAUUCAAGUUCAUUUCAAUGUCAUUUUUAAUCACAUCAUUAUUAAGUGAGUAUUUUUUUUUAUUUCAAAAUGUUACACUAACAAAUUUAACAAAAAAAAUUUAAGAAUGAUAACAAUUGGACUUGAAUUUUAGAAUUCGAAAAGUAGUGAGACUAGAUUCUUAAAAAUAAAAAUAUAAGGACUAAAUUUCUAAUUUUCAAAAACUACAUGGACUUACUCAAAAAAGUUACGUCAUUAAAUCAAUUAAAUUUCCUUUAUUACAAUUUAGAAAAUUGAAGGAGAAGAAACUAAAGUAAACUCAAAUUCUGAAAUUAAAAUUAGAAAAAGAAAAAAAGAAGAAGAAGAAGAAGAAGAAGUUUUGCAUUUGCUUGUUGCUUUUCUAAUUUGUUUUUCUUUCCUACUCCAAUGUCGUCCACACUAAUUUCUACAAUAUAAAAAUUAAGAAAAACCCAAUUUUUUUCAAUAUUUGUUAUUUUUCCUCUAUAAAUAAUCGUCUUCCUUUGUUCACUUGCUCAUUAACUAGCUUCACACACUCUCUCUCUCCCUCUUUUUCUGGUCCAAAGUUGGGUUAACAGUUGCCCUGAUUCAGGUACACUUCUUUAUCCUUAUCUUUAUUUGAUUAUAUCCAAAUCUGGGUUUUCUCCAAAAACUUUAAAGUUUGUUUUUUUUUUUUUACAAAGAGCUAUAUUUUCUCCUAAAACUAUGGGUUGUGUAAAAACCUUUUGAUUUUUGAUGAUUCCACUCUUCAGGGUCUUGGUCAGAUUUUGUUGCUAUUUUUAAACCCAAUUUUGGUUUUUAUUAUUUUGGUAAAUUAGCCUGUUUAAUGGUCCACAGGGAUUAAAAAGAAAAAAAAGCUAAGUUCUAUAUUCGGGUGUGGCAAUGGCUACUAAUAACAAUAAUAGCAAGUUAGAGAAGUUGGCUUCUAUUGAUGCACAGCUACGUGCUUUGGUUCCUGCUAAAGUGAGUGAAGAUGAUAAACUGGUGGAGUAUGAUGCUUUGCUUUUGGACCGGUUCCUCGAUAUUCUUCAAGACUUACACGGCGAGGAUCUUAGGGAAACGGUAUGUCAUUCUCCAAGAAUUGCAUAUACAUAGUUUGAUGUUUAAAACUAAUGCAUAUGGUAACAUUAUACUACUUUAUUAUCAAUUGUUUGUAUAUUGAUUUGUGAGAGUUUCACAUUUGGAUCACUUAGAAUCUUAUUUCCUGGUUUUAUGUAUUACUUUCAGAUACGGUUCAUAGUGUUCUUUGGAAGAUGCUAAAUAAAUUGAUUUGAUCUUGAAAUUUGUGUUGUGAAUUACAGUGAUAAAAUUGUACCAUUUUUUUGUGUGGUUGAUUUGAUUAGGUUCAAGAAUGUUAUGAACUUUCUGCUGAGUAUGAAGGGAAGAGUACCCCCAAGAAACUUGAGGAGCUGGGGAAUGUUUUGACUAGUUUGGAUCCAGGGGACUCCAUUGUUAUAGCUAAGGCUUUCUCCCACAUGCUUAACUUGGCUAACUUGGCUGAGGAAGUUCAGAUUGCUUACCGGCGAAGGAUCAAGUUGAAGAAAGGUGAUUUUGCCGAUGAGAACUCUGCAACAACUGAAUCGGAUAUCGAAGAAACUCUCAAGAGACUUGUGGUUGAUCUCAAGAAGUCUCCUGAGGAAGUUUUUGAUGCACUUAAGAACCAGACUGUGGAUCUGGUCUUCACUGCUCAUCCUACCCAAUCUGUUCGUAGAUCUUUACUUCAGAAGCACGGAAGGUUUGUUCUUUGAUUCUUGUAGCUUAAUGUCUUUUUUAUUACAUUUUGACAAGUACAGCGAAGAAGCAAUUUCGAAUUUAAAACUUGUUGUUUUCAUUACAUCCAGGAUAAGGAACUGUUUAGCUCAGUUGUAUGCUAAAGAUAUUACUCCAGAUGAUAAGCAGGAGCUUGAUGAAGCUCUACAGCGUGAGGUAUAUCACUGUGUCUUGAUAUUUGUUUAUCUGUAAACAAACUUGCUAUCCUUGUCACAACUUCUUCUCACUUAUCUUGUUUCAAUUCCUUUUCCAUGUAGAUUCAAGCCGCAUUUCGUACAGAUGAGAUUCGAAGGACUCCUCCAACUCCCCAAGAUGAGAUGAGGGCGGGAAUGAGCUACUUCCAUGAAACGGUAUGGAAAGGUGUCCCCAAAUUCUUGCGGAGAGUUGACACAGCUUUGAAGAAUAUUGGAAUUAAUGAACGUGUUCCCUAUAAUGCGCCACUUAUUCAGUUUUCUUCAUGGAUGGGUGGUGAUCGUGAUGGUACAUUCCUACUUGGAUAACUGAAUAUAAAAAAGACUUUACCCUGUAGCACAAAAGCUUUUCUUGUUAAUAUUUGCUUGAUAUAUAAUGCAGGCAAUCCAAGGGUAACUCCUGAGGUCACAAGGGAUGUUUGCUUGUUGGCUAGAAUGAUGGCUGCCAAUUUGUACUAUUCCCAAAUCGAGGAUCUGAUGUUUGAGGUAUUUAGCUUGUAUCAUGUAACACUUUCUUAUGAGCUUUAUUUGAAGGAUCCAUUUUGGGCCAAUCCUUAUUGAUGUAUCUUUGCAGUUGUCAAUGUGGCGUUGCAGUGAUGAGCUUCGUGUUCGUGCAGACGAACUUCAUAGAUCUUCAAGGAGAGAUGCUAAACACUACAUAGGUAUACUUUUAGAAAUAUGCCGGUUUCCAUUUUGUUUACCUUUUUUCCUAAAUCUAGAUGAUGCACUUUUUACAUAAAUAGCUGUUCCGAAUGGGCUUUACAUGCAUUUCAUGUGACCUUGUGAACAAAAAUGUAAGUCCAGCUAUUAUUUUUGCAUGUGUUUUCAGAAUAUACUUUGAAGUAUUGAGAAUACUAUUUCUAUCUCUAAUUCCCCAUACGGACAGAAUCUUCUAUAGUGUAUCUUUUAUAGAAUGCUUAAAGAAUAUAUUUAGACUUUAGGGAAGUUAAAACUAGAUAUGCUUCUCUGACAAGAUUUCCAAUGCCAUGUGAUGAUUUACGCGACUUGGAAAUGAUAGUUUCUAUAAUAUCUUGAUCAAUUGAUUUCGUGUCACUGGUUCAGUUCUCAUUUGAUGUUACUUCAAUGCAGAAUUCUGGAAAAAAGUUCCUCCAAAUGAACCCUACCGUGUUAUUCUUGGUGAUGUUAGGGACAAGCUGUAUCAGACACGUGAAAGGUCUCGCCAAAUGUUGUCUCAUGGUAUCUCUGACAUUCCAGAGGAGGAAACUUUCACCAACAUUGAGCAGGUCUCUGUCGGUUUAUCAUAUAUCAGUCUUAUUAUGAGUUUGGAAUCCACCUACUCAUCAUGAGUAAAAUACAGAUUUACAUUAGAUUGCCCCUCGGCUAACAUCUAGCCUUAAUAACAAUAGGAAAACGGCCCGGAAAACCCGAUUUUGUAACUCUUCUCCUUUUUUCGUUUUAUGUGCUGGGACAAUAAUGCCUUGAAAACUUCCAUUUCACUUUCUCUGCCCUCAUUGUAACGUCUGCCCUAAUUAACUCUUUGCUCUUAAACUUUUUGCAGUUUUUGGAACCGCUUGAACUAUGUUAUAGGUCACUUUGCUCUUGUGGUGACCGGCCAAUUGCUGAUGGAAGUCUUCUUGAUUUCUUGAGGCAAGUGUCAACUUUUGGCCUCUCACUUGUCAGACUUGACAUUCGGCAAGAGUCUGACCGCCACACCGAUGUCUUAGAUGCCAUCACCAAGCACUUGGAAAUUGGUUCCUACCGAGAGUGGUCUGAAGAACAAAAGCAGGAAUGGCUAUUGUCUGAACUAAGUGGAAGACGUCCAUUGUUUGGUCCUGAUCUUCCUAAAACAGAAGAAAUUGCUGAUGUUUUGGAUACCUUCAGUGUCCUAGCAGAGCUCCCGGCAGACAACUUUGGAGCAUACAUCAUUUCAAUGGCAACUGCUCCUUCUGAUGUUCUUGCUGUUGAGCUCCUACAGCGUGAAUGCCAUGUGAAGCAACCAUUAAGAGUUGUUCCACUGUUUGAGAAGCUUGCAGAUCUGGAGGCUGCACCUGCUGCUUUGGCUCGGCUCUUCUCUAUAGAUUGGUACAGAAAUCGGAUCAAUGGCAAGCAGGAAGUCAUGAUUGGUUAUUCUGAUUCGGGUAAAGAUGCUGGCCGUCUCUCUGCUGCCUGGCAGUUAUACAAAGCUCAAGAGGAGCUUAUCAAUGUUGCUAAGCAAUUUGGUGUGAAGCUAACGAUGUUCCAUGGUCGUGGUGGAACUGUUGGAAGAGGUGGUGGUCCCACCCACCUUGCUAUAUUAUCUCAACCACCAGAAACAAUUCACGGCUCACUUCGGGUUACAGUUCAAGGUGAAGUUAUUGAGCAAUCGUUCGGAGAGGAACACUUGUGCUUUAGAACACUCCAGCGUUUUACUGCUGCCACACUUGAGCAUGGCAUGCACCCACCAGUUUCACCAAAACCAGAAUGGCGUGCACUGAUGGAUGAAAUGGCUGUCGUUGCUACUGAGGAGUACCGUUCCAUUGUCUUCAAAGAACCUCGAUUUGUUGAAUAUUUCCGCCUUGUAAGUGAACUUGCAUUAUCAUGUUCUGAACACCAUGCCAUUUGUUCCAAGUUAAUUAAAGCAGUUUUGGAUUAACUAAUACCUGUUCUUUUUUCUGUAGGCUACACCAGAGUUGGAGUAUGGUAGAAUGAAUAUUGGAAGCCGACCAUCAAAGCGGAAGCCAAGUGGGGGUAUCGAAUCUCUUCGUGCAAUCCCAUGGAUCUUUGCGUGGACGCAGACGAGAUUCCAUCUCCCUGUUUGGCUCGGAUUUGGAGCUGCAUUUAAACAUGUCAUUCAGAAGGACAUUAAGAAUCUCCUUAUGCUGCAGGAGAUGUACAAUGAAUGGCCUUUCUUCAGAGUGACAAUUGAUUUGGUUGAAAUGGUCUUUGCAAAAGGAGAUCCUGGGAUUGCAGCCUUAUACGAUAAGCUUCUUGUUUCUGAGGAACUCUGGUCUUUUGGAGAGCGGUUGAGAACCAACUUUGAAGAAACUAAAAGCCUUCUCCUCCAGGUAAAUUCCCUUGGCCUGGAUCGCAUAUAGAUGCUUCUGGUUACUUACAUCUUUCAAAAACAUCGAGCAACUUACUCUUUUCUUCUUUACGGUUAUCAGAUUGCUGGGCACAAGGAUCUUCUCGAAGGGGAUCCCUACCUGAAGCAAAGACUCCGGCUACGUGAUUCAUACAUCACCACUCUAAAUGUCUGCCAGGCCUACACACUCAAACGUAUCCGUGACCCAAAUUACAAUGUGAAGUUGCGGCCACAUAUCUCUAAAGAGAUCAUGGAAUCAAGCAAACCUGCUGAUGAACUUGUGAAACUGAACCCAACAAGCGAGUAUGCCCCUGGUUUGGAGGACACCCUCAUCUUGACCAUGAAGGGUAUUGCUGCCGGCAUGCAAAACACCGGUUAAACCACCGACAUGCUACACGAGGUGUGCUUAAAGUUUUUUAAGUCCAGAGAAGAUGAAUUAUUCAUCAAAGACAGAUGUCAUUUCGGUGAAAACCUUUCUUAUGGGUAAACAAAAGAGUCGGAUAUAUAUAUAAAUGCUCUUUAAAGCUGUAUGAUUAUGCUGUUAUGCUUUUAAGACUCGUUUUAUUUAUAUAUAUAUAUGUAUUGCGGCAAGUGUUUAUUAUUGCCCAAAAACGGAUUGGAAUGGAACUCCAUUGGAACUGAUCCAUUAUGCUUUAAAUACAAGUAAUGCCUUUUGAGGCUUCUGGUUUUUGUUUUUACGUAUAAUCUUGGGUCUUUUUAAGCUUAUAUAAUUUACAGCUUCUUUAUGCAUGCAUGUAUUUUUGUUUCAAUCAAAUGCAAGAUUUUCAUAUGAUUAAAACAAUAACAGACUAAUAGUUAAUGGUCAGAAAUGUAAUUUCUCUUAAUUUUUUGUGUUUUUGACAACAGCAGUUCCACUAAAUUCUGGCGAGUGUUCAAAUUUCUAAUAAAUAGUUGGGUAAUCGGAUCCGAAAAAUAGGCUUAAAAAAAUAAAAUCAUUUCAAAUAUAAAUUAAUUUUGGGCUUGGCUCGAUUUGCUUUCUACUUUAUAAUAUUUUAUAUAAAGUAAAAUUAAAUAUAUAAUAAUAUAGUGUAUAUUUCAAUAUAUAAGAUAAUGUAAAUAUGCAUAUCCUAAAACAGACUUGAAUUAAAAAUUUACAAAUAUGAACGAGCAUAAAAUAUAUCAAUAUUAUAUAUAAACUCAGCCCUCAUGAACUUCUUUAAUUAUUAUGUAGAUUUUUGUAUUAAGAGAUAAAUAAUAUACAUUCAUUUAUAGAUUAGUUAAAAUUUUUAUUAAAUUAUACAAUAAAUAUUUAUAUAAUGACUUUUUAACAAUUUUUUUCUUAAAAAUAAAUUAAAAUUUAGAUUUUAAAAUCAACCCUUUUUUGGUUUCUUCCUCCUUUUUCUCCCUUAUAAAACAUGUACCUAAAGUUAUUUAAUUUUAUAUAUCAUUAUUUUCCUCUUAAUUGUGUAAAUAAUAGCAAUAAAUUAUCAUUUCACUAACAAAUUAAAAAAACCAAUUAAAAGCAGAACAAAGAACGAGUCUCACUCACUGUUUUUAGAUAAUUUUAGUUGCUUUUCUUCAGGUUGGUUUGAUUAAUUAAAAAUUCCCUUAAAAACAAAAAAUUUGAAUAAUUUCCAUAGCCGAAAAAUAGCUCAGUCCCUCGCUAUAAAUUUACCUUUUUUGUUUUACAAACUUCCAUAACUAGAAGAAAACUAAUAAAAAUAAAAAUAAAAUAAAAAGAUGGAAAAAACAUCAAUCCUGGCCCUUGUAAUUUCAUUGGUAAUAUGCCUAAUUUCGUCCCUCCUUGGCUUUUCCCAUGCCAAGCAUGGCUUGUUAGUUGUAAUAGGCAAAGUUUAUUGUGACACUUGCCGAGUUGAAUUUGAAACCAAACUUAGCCAACCUAUUAAUGGUAAUAUGCAAACUAUAUCAACUCCACUUAAACUUUUAUAUUCGUCAUAUAUUCGGACAUAAAUACGUAUACUUCUUGUUUAUAUGCAUAAGCAAAAGUGCAUUUGGAAUGUAAGAAUCGAACCGACGAACGAAUAGUAUAUAGCAAAGACGCGGUUUCAGACAAAUUGGGAAUGUAUAGCAUCCCGGUGGAAGGUGAUCACGAGGACGAACUGUGCGAAGUGCGCUUGAUAGAGAGCCCGAGGAACAAUUGCAACGAGAUGAUGGAAUCGUGGAGGAAAGCCAGAGUGGUGCUGACGAGAAGAGAUGGGGUGACCGAUCUAACUCGACAGACCAACAAUUUAGGGUUCAAGAUAAAACCGGAGGAUGUUGAUACUAAGGCAUGUGUCAAAGUGCUUGAAGAAAUGGGCUUCGUUGUUGAUGGUAAGACGCGAAUGGUUGAAAUUCCGUCGUAAGCUUUUUUAUUCACCAAUAUUUGUAUGAUAAAAGGAAGGUUUAUAAUAGAAUAUUUUAAACCCAUUUUUUUAUCCUUUCUUCUUCUUUUCUUUUUUUCCUUGAAUAGUAGAUAAUGAUUUAAUCCGAGUAGAUUUAAAAAGGACUUAGAGCUAGUUUAUGAUCGGAUCAAUUGAGAUUUUAUAAAUAUGAAACUUGAAUUAAUGGAUUUUAUGGUUUACAUUGAUUACAGUUUAUUAACUAAUGUAUCCGUAGAGUUAUUUAUUGAAAUUUGAUUGAUGGAAGCCUAUAAGAAUUUAUUUAUCUUCGAAAAAGUUGAAGAGAAUGAGAUCCUAUUUCUCUUUGUUCAUUUUAUACUACAACAUACUAUCAUUUAUACGAUUGGAAGCGAAAAAAUUAAGGCAACAAGGUUGGGAGAAAUUGUCAAUGCAUCAAUCAUCUUUUGUUAAGUUAGUGUGCAUUCAUAUCUGAUUCUAAAAUGUGUACUACAUACAACCUUUUUGACAUCUGUCGGACAAAAUUAGAAAUUUUGCAUUGGAGGGCAAGGUCAAAUAAAAGAAGUUGGGAGGGGCCAUAGUUAAAAAUUGUGUUUUAAAAUUAUUUGAAUUGAAAUUUUAAUUUCUUGUAGGGGUCAAACUUGAAAAUCUUCAUUUAAUUAAAGGGUUAAAAGGGAAUUAAUCAAUUUAUUAAUUUCAAAGGAACUUAAAAACAAUUCUACCAUUUAACCAAGGCAAUGUUUUAGAAAACUGAACCGAUGAUCAAACAUUUAGAUCACCGAUUCCCCAUUCAAGUGUCGGUACAAUAAUAAUUCUAUAAAUAGUUAAUAAAAAUUAAAAAAACUUGUAAAACAUUUCAGCAGUUGUUUUUUAUUAUUAUUUUGAAUUACAAUUUCUUAUUGUUUUAAGCGGUUUGCUCAAAGAUUGAUUUAAUCUCUUUGUCAAACUAGAUUGAGAGACGAAUCUAGCUUAAUUCCAACGAUGCCAAAGCUCUUGCUUUAAUCAUGUUGAAACAUUAUCAAUUUUUGUUAAAAGUGAAUUGUUGAUGGUGCCAUAAAAUAUUUUUGUUAAAUUUUUUAUUGGUAUCAACUUCACAUUUUAUCUUUAAAAUAUUUUUGAUUAAAAAAUCACAUUUUACAUUUAAUAUAUUUUUUAAUUUCAAAAUACAUGGUGACAAGAAUCAUAGGAUAAUUGAAGCAACUAAGCAAGCAAAGAAGCUAACCUGUAUGUAAAAGAUUAAUAAAUAAAUGAUGAGGGAAUCAAAGUUAAUAACAAAUUUGAUUACAGUGGGUGACAGUGGCUACAAGGACCCAAAUUUAUUUUUUAAAUUUAACUCGAACAAAUAUAUUCGAUUCGAUUUUAUUCUAAUUUCAUCUUACUCAACUCGAAUAAAUAAACUUUCAAAUCGAAUUAAGAUGAGAAAAUAAGAUCCAUCAACUCGAUUAACUCAAAUUCAUUCAAUUCAAUCCAACACUACCCUAUCCAUUAUUAUUUGUUUAGUGGAUUUAAAUGCUAGAAUUUAUAAUUUUAUUACAGUGAUAGAAAUUAAUUUCACCCGAGGCUUUUAAGUAAAUAGAAAAUCUUUUUUCUAAUUUAAAACUAUUAGUGACAUAAUUAUUUCCGACGAAAGAUUCAACCGAAAAUACUUUAAUGAAAAACACCUUGAAGCAGCCAUUGUUGAACCCAAGCGUGCAUUGAUUGAAGAAGGCAGGGAAGCCAUUAAAGUAAACAUUGAGAGAAAUGAAGGAAUUCCAUACGAGACGAAACGACGAAGUCCAGGGGAACCUGAUCUUCUUCAUCAUCAUUAAUAAUCAUGAAUUUUGUUUCUCCUCUCCUUUACCGCUUUUCUUCGGAAAUAAUAGAACCCGCAAAUGGUGGCUUAGAAAAUUUUGUUUGAAUGCAUGCUAAAACAAAUCAUUUCCAAUUCCUCCAUCUUAAUUUUCUUUUUCUAUUAAAGUAGGAUUUUAAUUUUGAUUCAAUAAAAUUGGACUUUUCAUAAGAUCAUUUACUAAAAGAUGCUCAGCUUACUCGAAAAUGGUACUUGCUCCAUCCUAUUCGAGCUAUUAUCAUGAUCGAAAAUUUAUUUAGUUGUGACGUGGAGAAUAUUUAUUUGCAUUUGUUAAGGUUUGAACCGCUGCUCUCAAAUGUUAGGUGGUAGUACACUUGCCCAUUAAUGCCAUUUAAGGAUAUGAGUUUAAUCUUUACUAAGGUCCCCUUGAUAGGUGGUCGUGCUCCAUGUAUAGUCCGGUCCAACAAAAUUCUCUCGUUUUGUUGAAUCUACUGCUUCAAGCACUCGAACUCUUCAAAAAGUUAGAAAUGAAACCUCAAUUAGAGACAAUACCAACCCAUUAAAAAAUCCAUCGACUUCUGACAAAUAAUUUUUAAAAAAAUGUCUAAAAUAAAAUCUGCUUUAUCGUUUAUCAUCCACCUGCAUUUUCUUUUUUCAUGUAUGCUUUUUAAUCGGUUGUAUAACCACAAUAACCAAAAAUAUUAAAAAUAUGUAUACCACAAUAAAAUAAAGUGCUAGACAAGAGCAGUAUUUAAUUAAGUUUAAAUAAAAGUGUACUAAGUUUUAGAGAUUGUGUGAUUAAAUUAUUUAAUUAUUUGUUAAUAAGGCCAGCAAUUACUUUGCGGAGGAGAUAUCUCUCCAGAUAGGAGUGUUUAAGUUUAAUUAAAAAAGUACAAAUAGACUUUUUAUCUUUAAACACUUCAAGUUUUUAAUUUUUAUAAUAACAUUUUUAUCGUAUUAAACGAAACUUUAACCAUAUUUAGGGAUUUAAUUUAAAUUGAAAUUUUAUUAUAUCCCUAUAAAUAUAUAUCACACGUUCACCUUUUCCAACACGUUUCCUUAAGUUUCAUAGAAGCUAAUUCCUUUCGGUCUAUUUUUAACGUGUUCGAAUUCUGUUGGCUUUUUUUAGUCAUGAAGAAAUAUCAGCUUUUGUUCCUAAUGCUUUACCUUGCAUUAUGUGUGAAUCAAUCUCACCAGCGGAUUCUUUCUCAAAAGCAUGAUGCUAAAAAAAUUGAUGAACAAUUUCUUCAUCAAAAGCAGAAUGUUAUCGUCUCAAAAGAUUAUGAAUUAAUUAAUCUUGUUAAAGUUACAGGUCCUGAAAGUAUCGCGUUUGACUGUAAAGGCGAAGGGCCAUACGUUGGAGUAUCUGAUGGUCGGAUACUUAAAUGGCAUGGACCAAAACUUGGCUGGAAAGAGUUUGCUAUUCCUUCAUCAAUUAGGUAUUCUGUAUUAUUUACGCAUUCAUUAACUUAUAUUCUUUUUGUAAAGAUAGUUAACCAGCGGAUGGAUUUUUUGUUGGAUUAGGAGAAGAGAGUUGUGCGAUGGGUCUACAAAUCCUAAUCUUGAACCAAUAUGUGGAAGGCCACUGGGCUUAAAAUUUAACCCAGUAACUUGUGAUCUCUAUAUCGGUGAUGCUUAUUUUGGUCUUCUCAUGAUUGGACCUAAUGGUGGCAUAGCACAAACUCUUGUUAGCUCAGUUAAAAGAAUCCCGUUUAAGUUUAUAAAUGGGUUAGAUAUUGAUAGUAGUACAGGAGUUAUUUAUUUUACAGAUAGUAGUACUACUUUUCAGAGAAGGUAUGAUUUUCUUUUGAACUAUUGGAAUUUUUUUAAUUCAACUUUUUGAGUAUUUAUCUAAUUUUUAAUUAAAUUUUUAAUAUUUAUGUGUAGGUAUGCGGAUUUUUUGUCCAAAUCAACUGAUAAUAGCGGAAGGUUAUUAAAAUAUGAUCUACAUACAAAAAAUACAUCUGUUAUCUAUACAGGUUUGAUGUUUCCAAAUGGAGUAGCUUUGAACAAAAAUCAUUCUUUUCUUUUGGUGGCGGAAACAACACGAAGAAGAAUAUUGAAGUUCUAUCUUGGAGCAAAUAAUUUAGAGCCCGAAGUGUUUGCUAAGUUACCUAGAGUUCCUGAUAAUAUUAAGAUGAAUGAUAAAGGAGAGUUCUGGGUAGCUUUAAACGCAGGAAGGCUUGGAAAGAUCGAUGAUGAUGUUCCGGAUCCCAUAGGAAUUAAAUACGAUCAAGAAGGAAGAAUUUUAAAACAACUGGACGGAAAUAAUGAAGAUGUAUUUAGUUCUAUUAGAGGUUAACCGAACUUUAUAUAUUGGUUCAGUUACAAAACCUUAUGUUACUAUUUUAAAUUUUUAAGUUCUCGUUUUAUUAGUGAUAUUAGUGAGGUUAAUUGAAUAUUGAUUAAAUUACAAAACUUUGGGUUGCUAUUUUUAUUCUUGUAGCGAGGUUACAAAAUCUUAGGUUGAUAUUUUAAAAGUUUAAUUUUUUUUAUUUUUUAAAUAACUUUUAUGAGAAUGUUCAAUUUUAUUUUAAAUUUUAUUUUUUUGCAUUGCCUGGAUGAUAAUUAAAAUCUUAUGUUGCUAUGUGAUAAUUAAUUUCUAUAUGGUUUUGGUGAUAACUAAAACUUUAAUGUUACCUUUGGUUGAAGUAUUAUUUUUUAAGCAUGUUUUAGUGUAUGAGUUACCAAUAAACCACUUCAAUUAAUAAUUUUUAACUACUUCCUUGACUUAUAUUAAUUAAGUUUAAAAAAUUAUUUUUUACGAGAGAUAUCACUUAUCUUUUUUUUUUUCAAAUUUAAAUUUUAUAAUUUUUUUAUUUUAUGGAAAUAAGUAUGUUUUUCUUUAAUAUGUAUUGAAUUUAUAUAUUCUGAUUGAGUCUUAACUUAAUUAAUAUUGAAAUUAUUAUCAGUACAAGGGAAUAUGAAUUCUAGUGCGCUGAAAAAUAUUUUUUUUAUUUAUGGAUUUAGGAAAAAUUAAAAUUUUCUCCAAAUAAUGAUUUCCAAAGAAGGGAUUUAAGUAAUUUCAUGUUAUAAAGGUUUUUUUCACGUGUGGUGGGCAUGGCAUGGCACUGGUAUUUAUAUACAAAGAAUCUUAAAUUUUAUUAUCUCUCUCCAUUUCUAGAUCCCCAAAACCCUCAUACUUUUUUUUUUCCUUCCCAUCGAUCUCGCCAAUGGCCAACACUAAUCUCCCUCGAAGAAUCAUUAAGGUUUCUCUUUCGAUCUCACUCUCAUCCUUCUCGGUUUCCUCAUUGGAACCCUCAGAAAAUCUUCCUUUUUUUAAAAAAAAUAGUGUUCUUUUUUUUGUGUUUCUAGAGUUUGAUUUGGUAGCUGAAUUGUUUUGGGGUUUUAAUGAAUCGGAAGCUUCAGUAAAUUGUUUUAAGUCUUCUUACUUUGUUUCUGUGAAUUAUGUGAAUGUUUCAUGCUUAAUUUUUGUUUCUUUAUCUUUGAUCUAAACAGGAAACUCAGCGUCUCCUCAGUGAACCAGGUAAAUACUUUGCUUCUUUUUUUGAAAUUCUUGUUGAAUAUUGUUUGUUAUCGGUUUUUUUUUUUUGGAUUAAAUGUUAUGGGCUGAAAAAUGUUUAAUUUUAUUGUUUUUCCCAUAAAUACAGCGCCUGGAAUUAGUGCCUCACCAUCAGAGGAUAAUAUGCGAUAUUUCAAUGUGAUGAUCCUUGGUCCAACACAAUCUCCAUAUGAAGGUAGUUGAUUUUUUUAAUCUGAUGGGUUGCGCUUUUUCUUUGUGUUAGAAAUGUAAAAUUUUAGCAGUUAUUGUAUAAUAGUUGGGUCUCAACUGAUUGAAUACAUAAAGAUUGACACCAUUGCCAAUUUUUAGUUAUUAAAAUGACCUCUAUAUGCCUUAAGAGUAUGAUUUUUCAUUUGAGAAAAUGGUUAUGCUGUGUUUAUUUUACUUCAUUUCUAUCUUUUAAUGAGAAAGAAGGGGCCCUUGUUUUCAAUGUUGAGUGUUGAAAUAUAAGCCCAAUUAGCAUGGGUUUAAGUCUUAUGCUGUGGUUAGUCUGGUUUUUGGAAGUUGUUUCUGGUAAUAUCUCAUCACCUUUUUUGUCAUUCUGCAUUUAUGUAUAGGAUAUGAUGCAUUUUCUUGUUUGGUUAUUUGUUUAGGAGGGGUUUUCAAGUUGGAACUAUUUUUGCCUGAAGAAUAUCCCAUGGCUGCUCCUAAGGUAGUCAGCAUUGAGUUAUUCUUAAUGUUUAGCAUGAUCUUCAUGUUUUGGCAUCUGUUGGGGUAUGCUCGGUUGAUGUUCCUUUGAUAUAUGAUAUUGAUUGACUUUACAUUGGGUUUUAUUAUGAAUUAGGGAUGCACUAGUUUACAUGUAGAGAAUGCUGUCUUUGCUUUGUGUGACUGUUUUAUCUGUCACGUUUUACUGUUAGUGCAUCUAGUUUCCAUCAGUUUCUGUUCUUCUUGGUGAUUAAGGAUAUAAUUUCCUUUAGCUUGUCAAUGUUUGCUCGACCUUCACUUGUUAAGUUGUUUGUUAGUCAGUGUUGAAGCACACAUGCAUCAUAUUACAUAUUUGUAGUCUAUCUGCUUAAAAAGUGUUUUUGAAUUGCUCUCUAUCUAAUGGGUACUAUAUUCUAUGACCUUCAGUUUACUGAACAGAUGGAGAUACAUAUACUAUCAAUGCAUCCUAUUAUUAACAGCCUAAUUUCCAUGACCUUCUUAGCUCUCUAAUAUCAAACUCUCUUUCAUCUCUUUAACUAGUUGGAGAAAUUCAUCUGAAAUCAUAUGAUUUUCUAUAAUUUGCUAUUGCUUUGUGAUCUUCAACCUUCGUUCUAAUAGAUUCAGGUUCAACAGAAUAUUUUUUGCAAAAUUGUGUUAUUUUCCUUUCAAUAUGGUGAAGUUUUGGUUCUAUAUGAUUCUUUGCUUUAAUGACAUUUAAGAGGAAAAUGCAUAUUGGAAAUGAACAUCUAGUAGUAUGUUAUAUUCACUGGCUUUCGGAAGCCGUUCUUACUUUCACCUAGGAAGAACCUUGCCUUCAAUUAGUUGCGCAGAACCAACUUUUUUGGUGCUAAUGAUCUAAUCCGUGCUUGCUCUCCUAAUUGGACUCUGUAUGGCUGAUUGGUGGCAUUUGAGAUUCAUUAUCUUCUUUUGAUCGGUACUUAAUUGUUUGAUUUCCGAAAAAUAGGACCUCUGUCCUCUUUUUGGUGAUUGGACUUCAUUGUUUGGUUCUCAGAACUUUUCCAUCUUCCAUUAGUUUUGCCCUUUCUGGUAUAUUUUGUAUUUUUAUCCACCUUAACAAAUUUGCUGUAACAGGUUCGAUUUCUUACAAAGAUAUACCAUCCUAACAUCGAUAAGGUCAGCUCUACCUGUUCCUCCUUUUGUCCUUGUUUUUUGGUGUUAAAGGUGUAUUUUAUUGUUCUAAGAAUUGAUCUUUCUUGCAGCUUGGAAGAAUAUGCCUUGAUAUUCUCAAAGACAAAUGGAGUCCAGCUCUCCAGAUUCGAACUGUACUUUUGAGGUAUUAUAAGUUUUUGUGAGAUGUAUCCCUAAUACUGUAAAUCGCAAUAGAUGGUUUGAGUAACAAGCUUAGAACGUAUUACAUGUCAUUAUAGUUAUAAUUUUUUUUCUGGAAAAUGAGAGAUUACAAGUAAAGAUGGCAGUUGAAUAUUUCUUUUCCACCAAUGCCCAUUUAUGUAGCUUUUGUUUUGCAUGAAAGAUUUCACUGCUUUUUUUCAAAUGCAAAUAUAUUUAUAUGUUUGUGUGUAUGCGUGUAUGUGUUGUGUACGUAUUAUUACUUAGAAAGGGAAUUCUUUUGUGUCUGGGUUCAAGACAUUAUUAUCUUAAGUUAUUGCGGUAUCUUGAUCGAGUUUUAGGUCAAUACUAAAAUUAUUAUCUUUAUUGCUAGCAUUCAAGCACUCCUGAGUGCUCCUAAUCCUGAUGAUCCACUCUCGGAGAACAUUGCUAAGCACUGGAAAACAAAUGAGGCUGAAGCCGUGGAGACAGGUAAAAUCCCAUGGUUGCAAUCUUAGAUCACUACUAGAAUCAAGGCUGGUAUGCUGUGAUUCUUACGAUUGACUGUUCUCAGUUUCCUUGACUAUUUGCAGCUAAGGAAUGGACCCGUUUAUAUGCGACCGGUGCGUAAUACAAGUGGCGGAACCGUUAGUGCUCUUAAAAUAACAUUUUUAUGCAAUGUAAGCUAUUCAAUGUUAAAGUUAAGGUUUGAAAGAGUCUGAUAUUCGCAAAGCUUUCAGCUGCAACCUGAGUUGGAAGCAGUGCAGUCUCAUCUCUGAACUUGUAAGAUAAUAUACAUUGUUCUCAAAAACUCUGAAAUGCUCAAACUAAGGGAUUAUUCUCUAAUAUAGCAAAAUGUUUAAACGAAAUAAUUAAAUCUAAUUGUAAUUGAUUAAAUUUUGUUGACUAAUGUAGGUGAUCAUUUUUAAUUUAAUUAUUCCAUUUUUGGCAAAUUCUACCAUUUUUUUUACCCGUCUUCUCAAUUGCCCAGUGCCUGCCUCUUUCAACCAAAACUCUUGUGGUCUUUAAUAUAUAAUGCAGAAGUCUUAAUUGUAUUUUGGCUUAUAUUGUUGUGCCGAGUAAUUAGAGGUAGUAAUUACAUUUUAUUUGAUAAUAUAAAAUGUAAUGAUAAAAUUAUAUAAUUUUUAUUUUAUAAAAAAAUUCUCUAAUAAAAUUUAAAAACCAAAUUUAAUGUAAGAAAGUAUUUGAUAAUGCAAUUAUUAAUAAAAAUAAUAAUAAAAAAGGUGUCUUAUGUAACUUUAUUGAACAGCUCAUUCCAUCUCUAUCAUUAAACUUAUAUCCCUAGACUAGUUAUCAUUGGUUAGUGUUUUGUUAAGUGCAAAUAAUUUAUAAUAAAUACAGGUUAAUAUUUAAUGGUUAAAAUGUAUGAAAAAUUUCAUCUUUUCAGAUUACUUAAAUGAAAUUAGUAAAAAAACAUGUAAUCAUAUUUUUAAGUAAUGUAUCAUUAAAUUAAAAUACUUUUAUUGUGUAGAAUAAUAGCUUCUUAAUAUUUAAAUCACGUAUUGGUGUGUUUGGAUAGUCACAUGAUAAUUAGAUUUUAAUGUAAUUGUUUGUAAUUAUUAAUAUAAUUAUCUCAUUUCUCACCAUCUCUUAAGAAUUGGAGUGUAUUGAAGUGCUCUAAUUGUUAUAUUUUGACAUAUGACCGAAAACAUUACAACAUCGACUAUUAGAUUACAGUUUUUUAUAUUGAGAAAUAAAAUAAUUUUAAUUUUUAUGACAUCAAUUAUUAAAUUAUGAUGUUUAAAUCAAGAAAAAUAAUAUUUUUAACUUUUAAAUAUUAUUUAAAAACUAGAUUUUAACAUUGAUGCCAUAUAAAAUUUGGGAGGAAACAUUACAACAUCAACGAUUAGGUUGCGGUUUUUAAAUCGGAAAAAUUAAAAUAAUAUUAGUUUUUACGACAUUAAUGUUUAAAUUACAAAUCAUAAACCUAUAAACUAAAAUAAUAAAUAGCUUUUAAACAUAAAGACUAAAUUUUAACUUGGACACUAUAUUUUGAAGGUUAAAUGUAGUAAAAUGUCAGAAGUGGGAUUUGAACCCACGCUCUCUCACGAGAACCAGAACUUGAGUCUGGCGCCUUAGACCACUCGGCCAUCCUGACAUUUGCGUUAAUUUUCUCAUUUUGUUUUUAAUAUCACAGUAUAAGGAGCUGCUAAUCACAUUAAAAAACAAAAAUUAGAAUAUAACCUAAUUAAAAAUUGUCUGACUUUAAAUUUUUGGCUUCUAACUGUUUAUUUUUAUUUUAGAGUUAAAAGUGUAAAUUUAUCAUCACAUUAUAAAUUAAUAUUGAAAUUUGUUAUUUUACUUUUUUUAUUAAUAUUUGCAACUAUAUUAUAAAAUAUGAGUAAAUAUUUCAAAUCUUAUUUCGAUUAAAUUUUACAUCAAAAUUUUUAAUUUUAUUAAAUUUUACCGUCAAUUUUAAUAAAAAAAUUAAAAUUUACCCAUCAAGAUUAAUUUUGAUAAUUUGAUAGCAUAAUUUAAUAAGGAAAGGUUUUUACUUUGAUUAACAAAAAUUUAACUUUAUAAAUAUUUAAAAACAACUAAUUAAGUUACAUUUUCUAUUUAAAAAAAAUAAAAACUUAAAAAAUCAAAAUACAUAUAUCAUAAAAGAAAAUUUUUAAGUUUUUCUUAUAAAAUAACCGUUUUUAUUUAAUCUUAAUUUAUAUUAAUUAAAAUAUAGAAAUAAUUUUCAUAAAAUUUAUUCUUUAAAUUGUUUUAAAUUAAAAUUGCAUUGAAAAAUUCAAUAAUAACUUUAGUGGCAAAAUCAAAAUUAAAUAAAAGUAAAGCAAUAAAAUUCAGUAUAGAGUUAAAAUAUAGUGAUAAAUUUAUCUUUAAUUCAUAAAGAUAAUGACAAAAAAAGUCAAUUAAAGGGAAGUAUAUAUUAACCCUUUAUUUUAUAUUGCAUUAGCAUUCUAGUUUAAUUUUUAACUUUUAAAAGCAAGUUUAAAAAUUUGUCUUUAUAUUAUAUUAAAAGGAAAAAAGCUAAAUACUAUCACAUGCACUGGUUUUUUACCUUUUUACUUCUGAAGGUUAAAAAUUUCGCUAAGUAAGCUUAUGGAUGUAUUUUAAUUUAAAGCAAAUUAAUUAUGUAUAGUGUGAAAUUUUUAGACUCCGUAAAUAGGGUCAAAGGGUUGAUGAGUGUAUAAUAAAAUAUUUUUAAAAAAUAAAUUAUUAAAAUUUUAAAUAUCUCAUAUGAUUACCAAUAAAGAAUUGAUUUUGGGAGGAAAAAGGGUAAAAAAAAUUUCAAUCAAGUUAAUUAUGACAAAAAUAAAUAAUGAAUGGUCAACCACCUCAAAACGGCAGCGUUUUCGUGGUCAGAUAAAUAAAACUGAAAUUACCCCACAACGGCUAUAUUCCCUGCCAUAAAAAGUUAAAAACAAAUACUUUAAUCGUAAUAAAAAUAUACAAAAAUUCACCGUACUCCGUACAAACGGUAAUUCUACAGUACUAUUUUGGACCCGAAUGAUGAAAAAAAUGACAGGCUUUUACAACGUAGGCCCAUUUCAACAAGUGCAACCCACCCACACGUGCCGAAUUCAUCAUCAUGGUUUAUUUUUUUCUACAACUAAAUUACUUUAUUUAUUUAUGUCCGUAGUUCACAUCAAAUUAAGAUUGAUAGGUUUGCCCAAUUGACAUUGUCAAAUUAUUCUCCCUUUUCCGUUCCAUCCAAGCAAAACCAAUGCCCUUUACACCACAAAAAUCCAUUAAUGUUGACAGCUUUAUUACUAUUUCAUAUCUUAAUCAUAUAAAAUUUCAACAGUUUAUGCAUUUAUUAUUAUUCUUUUUAUAUUUAUAUAUAUAUGAUGAUGACGAUGGCUUCAAUAAUUUUAACUUAGAUCAUUUUUAUUUUAAAAGAAAAAUAGAUGAUGAGGAUGUGAUGAUGAUAGGAUGGCUUCAAUAAUGGUUCAUGUAAAAUAGGGAAAAGACAAUACAAAGGUAAAAGUCUAGAAACCCAAACAUCCCCCCCCCCCCAUCAGAUAUUGCAAAGGUUUUAUGAAUGGAAUGGGGGGAAUCUUUGAACAACCUGUAAACUUUUGGAACUAAGCUACUAGCCUUAGCUUUUCUGAUAGCUCCUUUUUCCUCACUCUAAUUUAAUAUAUACCCAAAAAAGAUUUAAUUAAAUCAAUUUGUCUUGUAGCCAAUCAAACCAUUGUUUUUUUUGCUCUUACUUUUCCCAAUCUAAGUUUGUCCCAGAGACAGCAUUCAUUGGCACAGCACAUCACGUGGCCCAAAGGGUCCAACACAGCCCUCCAAAGUAAGAAAGGGCUGUGUGCCUGUGUUGCUAUGCUUUGUCAUGGUCAUUGACAAAGGUGCAACACAAACCCGGCUCAUUUCGGCACCCACCAUUUGUACUUUUGGUCCCUUUUUUUGGUUUAGGUGGGUUUAAGAGGGCAAAUACUUCAACUUAACAACCCUUAAAUGCCCACAUGUGAAUGCCCCCUCACAUGACAAAGGCAGCAAACAACUUCACUUGCAAACAAAAUAUAUACAAUAUCAAAUCAAAUCUCCUAUAAUGGAAUAGCUAACAUGCAUUAAUGACUUAAGAAACAGAUAAUGUGGACUUAGGGGAAUGGAUGUUUUAGUUGUUUAGACUAAUCUAGCCCUCCUAUCCCCUAUCCUAUAGGGCACUAGUUUUAUAUUUAAACACGCACACAUAUAAGCAUUAAAUGGUGUCAACUACCCACCCAACUCUUUAAUAAGAAAAAACCAGCCUUCAUUUAUCAACAUAUGUCUUGCUUUUUCUUAUACCCUAUCCCCAGUCCCAAGUGAUUGAAAUCAAUUUAAUAAUGGGGUUGCAGGGAGAAAAGAGGAAAAAAAUGGGAAUUUUUUUAUUGAUGAAAUGGUUGAGAAAAAAAAAAGAAAAAAGAAACAACAAUAUUAAUGACAACAUAUUCAUCCUUCUUUCACUAACCCAGUAACUAAGUACCCACCAGACAUCCAAUCAUCUCCCUCAUGGCUUCUUCAGAUGAUGUGUAUAUAUCAUCACAUAUAUACAUGUACAGAUCCUCUGCUACCAGCCUGCCUGCCUGCCAGUCCUCUCACUGUAUCUCUAAAAUGUAAAACUAAGUAUCCACUUUUUCAAUUAAAUUGUACACAUAUUUCUCAAUUGUUUCUCCCUUUUUUUCUUUUUCUUUUCAAGUUUCCCACUGAAUGAAAGUAGUGAUACAAGAACCAGGCUGGCCUACUUUUGAAAAUGGAAAAGAGAGGGGGAGAGAAAUUAAGGAAAAGGUGAAAGGGAGGAAGAAGAACAGGGAACCCUAGAGCAAUGAGGAAUGAAUGAAUAAAUGAAAACUGCAAAAGGGGGGGGAACUAAAAGCUAAUUUUAUCUGUGGGUUCCUCUGGCAUUGGCUGCUAAUGGGAUUAUUAUGUAGCUCUGGUUUUAUGUCACAGGUACCUGGUAAUCCUUAUGUGGUGGGAGGGAAAGAUUGGAAGGGUAGUGGAAAGAGUUCCCAACAAAAUAGACAUUUGGGCAGUAGCAAGAAGUGAAACACAAAAAAAAAGGAGGGUGGACCAAGGAGUACAGUCAUUAGUUCUAAAAGCUGUAAUGCCUCACCGAGUGUUCCAGCAUUUCCCGACUCGGGCACACCAUUUCCUUCACCCGGCUACCGUUUUUGUAUAUCUUGAAUGUUGGUACAAUCCUCACAUUCUCGGUGUUCGCAAUCACUGGACUCUCAUUGAUGUCCACCUUUAUUCCAAAGAAGCAACAAAAAAGUAGAGAAGAAAUCGUUAUUCUCGCUGCACUGCAAUAAACCAUGGAUGGAGAAAGAAAAAUGGGACACUUACCUUAAGAAAAUUUAUGGAGGGAUAACGACCACAUAGAGCAUCCACAAAUGGAGAUAUCUGUUUGCAUUGCAGGUUGGAAGCCAUCUUGAAAUGGACUACAGAGAUGCCUGUGGAUCAAAAUUAACUCUCAAGAGGAUUGCAAGAUGGAAAAAACCAGAGAGAGAGCGAUUGAAGUAAUGAAGAUAGUUUAAAAUGCAAGGUCAACAUUACCUGGCAGAGAUAUUGCAGCUCUGAACUGCUCAAGACUGCAUACUUCUUCUACUUCGCCACCGAACUUCAUAUUAUAAACCUCUUCACCGCGAGAUUUCUUCAAUGCAACUUGUGCAUGAAAAAGCGAUUCAGCAACUUCAUUGUCAUUAGGAAGUUCCCUUCUCAAAACUUCAUAAUCUCGGACAGCUUCAGCCCAUCGCUCUAGCUGUACUUCACAAUGACUGAUGAUCAGUAUGAAGCAAACAAAUUCGGGUACACCCAUACACAAAGAUGUUGAUCAUUAUGAUGAAGGAAAGCUUUAAAGAAUUGUUUACCUUGCUAUUACAUGCUGCCCUUCUAAGAAGGGCUUUUAUGUAGUUUGGUUGGAUACUUAAAGCUUGGUCACAAUCUUCAAUAGAACGCUCCCACCGCCCAAGCUUAAACCAACAUGCUGCUCUGUUACAAUAAAGGAUAGAAUUCGAAGGAUCAAGCCUGAGGCCGUCCCCAUAUGCUGAGCAUGCCUCAGUGAACCUUUCAGAUUUGAAGAGAUCAUUCCCACGUGCUCGUGCUCUUGCAACCAACCUCACAUUGUUAAGCAGUACAGCAACUUCAACAUUUCGGGGAUCAACCUGCCCAGCCUUCUCAGCAGCUGUAACUGCAUUCUCAAACCUGCAAGACAUCCAUCGUCAAUUCUACAAUGGUCCCAAAAACCUUGCCAUCUUUUAUAUCUGAUGAAAGUUGGCAUUUUUUAAACUGACCUUCCAAGUGCCAUCUCCAUUUGUGCUUGAACAAAAAAGAUAUAACCUUCAGCAAGCAUGCCAAAGUAUUUAGUUUGCAAGGAGUUACUGCAUGAUUCUAAUUUAGGAACAACUGAAAGGCUUGAUUCAGCAUCAUCAAGUUGAUGUAGUUUCAAAAGGGCUUCCACUCUACACAUAAAAAGCUGUAAAUUCAAUGUGAACCAGUUCAGCCAUUUUCAAUGUCUGUUAACUGCACAAAAUUCUUAGAAAUUUAUGGAUGGAAAGUUUUAGACAAGUUCUUUACCUGAGGAGAAAAGUCAGCACCGGCGGCAAUACCAGCAUCAGCUUCCCUUAAUGCACUUCUCCAGUCCCUAAUUCUCCGGGCAUCUGUGCACUUGUUAAGAUGCCUUUCCACUGCCUGCAACUUCUGCGACUCCAUUUGAUCUUGUGGUUGCCCGGGAAACAAUAUGUGCUUCCUAGCAUUCUCAACAUGCCCUACCCUGAAAUAGAAUUGUGUUAAAAUUGUAGCAACAUAAAUAUUAUAUGCACAUUUGACUAAUGUUGCGAAAUGAGAAGUGAUAUCAAAAUGCCCACGAUCAUUAAAAAAAAAAAAGGCGGGCACAAAUCAAAGUAAAUACUGAAACACAUAACAGACAAGUUCAUCAGCUACUAAUACCCUAUGGCAAUGGAUCCUUCUAAAUAACAUACACGAACUCAUCAUUCGAAGGAAACUAUUGAAUAUGCAAUCCUAAAGAUUUCAACCGGAUGCGUAAGCCAAGCCAAGCUAAUCCUAUAAAUACAAACAUUAAAAUGAGAACCAUAUAACUAAAAGGAAAUUCACAGAACAGACAUGACAUAUAAAGAAAUACAGAUCAGAAUUCUGCCUAGACAUACAAAAUAAAAGCACAAAUGGAUCUAACAAUCUACAACUAUGCAGAUGAAAGCAUUAGCAUUAGUCACAUCCAUUCACCAGAUCAAAAACUUGAGCAACAAUCAUCAAGACAGAAACCUUGUAAUCAAUGUAGAACAAGAACCACAGUUGUUACCAGCAAGACAAAACAUCUAGAAAACCAUCACUAACUCAAAAUUAUCCCCAGAAAAAAAUUCCCACCGACACUCUUUGCUUCACCAAUGUAGGUGAAAACAUAACACCAAAUAUAUGAAUUUUUAUGUAUUGUAGCUGUUUUCACCUUAACAAUAAUGAAGCCAAUCUCUGAUGAGCCCUCCCAUAAUUAGGAUCCAAUCUAACCGCUUCUUCACAUUCCUUGACUGCCUCACCUACUCUCCCUAAAGCCGUCAAUGCAGCCGCUCGGUUACUCCGGUAAGCUGCGUUCGCCGGUGACAAAGCUAUAGCCUUAUCAUACAAACUCAAAGCCUCUACAAAAUGUCCCUUUUUGUACAUCUCAUUCCCAACUUUCUUGAGUUCCUCAGGUUCCAAGUUCCCCAUUGCCUUCCUCAUUACAUCACUUGCAUUCCCCCGGUUUCCCAGGGUGUGACUGGGUUCAAAGGCGGUGCCUCUGGAAGGCGUAACGGGUCCAGUUCCCACUCCCCCGGCCCGCAUUAUGCUGCCGUGGCCAUAAUUACCCGACCCAGAGCCUAAAACGUCGGUUCUGGAGCUUCGGUUCACUGCCAUGCCGGUUUUUAUGAUUCUCCCAGAAGGGCAUAUGUUUCCGGUCGGGAGAACAUUGACUGCCGGCGAGUUGGCAGUGCUUUGACCCGAAUAGAUCAACGGGUGGGUCGUGGCAGUGUUGGGUUUGGAUCUGGUCUGAGCCGGUUUCAUAUUCCCCGUCGAAGCUGUUGGGCUCGUUUCGCUUGAACCGGAUAGUUCACCAGAGUGGUUAUUCCGACCCGAUUCAGAUCUCCUAGCGGUCGCGCUAGACGAGUUCCGACCCGAAACGGAUCUGGACGAACUGGAGCUCGAACUCGUCGUAGUCGUAGUAGUAGUGGUCGUAGUCAUCGUCAGACCCUGUUGCCCUGUUCGGAGCGGAGACACGGGUGAACCCAGAUCGAGUUCACGGAAAUCGGGCUUAUUAUCAUCGUAACUCAACGAGUCACGAAGUUGAUCGGCGAGUUUAUCAUAAUCCCGACCCAACUCCGUUUCCGGCUUUCCAAGAUGCGACAUUUUGCCUUCCUCUUUCUUUCCCCUCUCACUAAAAAAAAAAAUUUGGGUUGGCUCCAAUUUCCGUCCCCUCCCCCUUUCCCUUCCCCUUCCUCCCCUCUCUCUAUUUCCUUCGAGUCUUUUAUUGAUAAUGUGAGUGAAAAAAGAAAAGAAAGAACUUGAAGUGAAUGUAGCAAGAAAGGAUAGAGCUUGGAGAAGAAUAGGGAACCAAAAAAAAAAUAAAGACUUGGAAGAAGAGAUCUAAGAGAGAGAGAGAAAAUGAAAGGAAAGGAAAGAAAGAGAUGGGGAUCUCGUGAUAUAAAACUAAGAAGCAAAGAAUGAAUGUGAAAAAAAAAAAAAAUUGGAGAGCGAGAAAGGGUUUUACAGAGAGAUAAGAAACAGAAGAGAAAGAAGAACUUGGAAGAGAAAGAGCUUUUUAUUUAUUCACUUACUUGCUUCUUCUUCUUCUUUUUUCUUGUUUAUUAAUUAUUUAUUAAUUAUUUUUAAUUUUAAUUUUCCAAAUUUCUUUCACCUGCUUCUUCACGAGACGGGUUUUUUCAUUUCUUGGGUUAAUUACAAAUCAGAGGGAUCAGGCAAUGGAUCCACAGUAAUUAUUUCUUAGUAUCAUAUAUGUAAAGUAUUUAUUCUUUAGGAAAUCUUUUCAACUAAACAAAGGAAACUAUGUAACAAACCACAGCCUUCAACUCCAUCUUCAUCCAUUUUCUUUUUCAUAUCCGUUUUUCAAGAUUUAUGAUUGAUUCUCUUACCAUUUCAAUAUGAAUUCGUAUAUACUAAAACUUAUUUAGAAAUCAAACUUUAAAAAAGUUUUGAUAUUAUAUAAUAAAUACUUUCUCAUAUUACACUAGUGAAAAUUUAUUUUAACUCUAUCGGCCUGAUUUGUAAUUAACACUUCAUCUUUAAUUUUGCUUUGUUUGUUGUUUCUGCUAACUGCUAAGGGGCUAUGUCUUAUCCCACUCUCAUAUCAAAGAGAGUAAAACACACUAUUUAUAAAUAUACAUUUGAUAAUUAAUUUACUUCCCAUUUUUAUUGUGUGAUUAAAUUAGGAGACAUAAAAUGAGAAAUUAAUGCUUUCUUUUUUUCUAUCAGAUAAUGCGAAAUUCCUUUUUUCCACAAAAAUUAUCAUCACAACAAUUUUUAUAUUAUAGCGCGUGAAGGCGAGUGGGAAAGCAAAACUAAAAUUGCAUGAAAAUAAUUAAGAAAGGAGAGGUGAGUAAGUGAGCAGGUCAUCAUCUUGUUCAGUGUUCUAUUUUCUUUUUAACUCUCUUUUUUCAACACUGCCCACAGUCAAAAUAUACAGCCAACUCUUUUUAACCGCGGUAAAUUUAGUUCAAAAUUUACUGAGCUCGAGUCUUUUUCUUCCAAACAAAGUCCAAACAAAGCCGUCCCGUAACCACGUGGCACAUAUACUGAUGCUUGUGGCCCCACUUUAGAGCACCAGCAAACAUCAAUAUCAAACCACCAGCAUCCAAAAUUAUUUUUUUUUUACUUAUAAAAAAAUAGGAUAAUUAAACUAAUUACUAAAUUUACUGUGACCUUUUCAAUUAUUUUAGCAAAAAUUAUGCUUACCAUAAUCUCCAGUUUAGUGAAAAUUUCAUAUCACAACUAAAAUAAAUAAAUCUAAUAUUAAAUUUUUAGAUAUUUUUUAGUCAGAUAUUUUUAAUUUUUAUAAAAUUUAAAUCCAUAAAUUUUCUUUAAAAUCCGAAUAUUUUUAUUAUUUAAUUAAAGUGGAUAAUAAAUUGAAACAUUCAAAUAAUGAAUCUAAAUUCGUUAUCAGCUCAGUAUAUUUAGAUGAUUUUUUAAACUGUAUAUGUGAGAAAAAAAAAGGCAAUUUUUUUAUUUUAUUUUUCUUUUUAUGGUAUUUAUGUAGUGACUUAAAUUCAUGACUGCUAAUUUUCACCCCCUAGAUUAUUGUACUUCCUACCAGAUUUUUUACUUGCUUACGCAAUCCAUAAAGGCCAACACUUAAUUACCCAAAUUACCCUCAUGUGCCCAUUAAUUACAGAAUUACUUGAAGCCAUGCAAAACCCCCACCUGUUCACUCCCUUCGAUUGUCUCGAGAAAGUGAGUGAGAGAUAAUGUCAACUUCAAUCGCAUAAAAGAAAAAGGACCCCCACAAAAGCCGAAAAAGGCCAGCAGUGGCUUAUUGUGAAAUUGUGGGUUUUAUCAGGGUUAAAUAUGGAAGUUGACGAACCCGGUCCACUGUGACAGAAGUAGCUGGCCAUGUGUAGCAGAGAGUGGCGUGCCAGCUGGCCCAUUGAGGGGAAAGAUCUUAAGAGAGAGGGCAAAAGAGUGGCGUCCAGCUAAGCAGAUAACGGAGUCUGGUAACGGCGUUAGAAUGAUCUCGAGGAUAUUCAAUGUAGUUUGUUGAGGGGUUAGGGGUAGGAUGUUAACGGAGGCUAAAAUGGGGGAAGGGAAGCCGUAUUUUUAUGGAAUGAUGAGGUGGCUAUCUAAUUCAUGCCAGGUAGCUCAUUUGCCCUUUCUUUCUUUGGUUUUAUUCAAUGCACAAAUGGUCUACAAUAAGCCAUUAAGCUCUACAAUGAUGAAUUGUUUUUCAAUGCAAACAUGUUAUUUGUGCACAAAUGUCUCUUUUAAUCUCAACAAAGCACAUGUUAUGCUAAGGUUUGGCUUAGUGAGCAAACAGAUUGUACUGAUAAAUCUAGGAAAUGUGACAUUUACCAUAUGUAUAAAAUUUCUUGGAUUGGACAAUAUUAUUUGUGCCUAGGGCCAAUUUGAUCUAAUUUAAAGAUAGUUUGUGCUAUAUUUACGAGCAAAAACUUCUUCUACACCAUGAGUUGGUGAAAAAAUAUUAUAGAGCGAAUUGUCACUAAAUAUUAAAGAAGUUUAACCAAACAUCUCUACAAGAGCUUUUGUCUUCUGCCUAGUGUCAUAAGGAUGAGCAGGGAUAUUGAUGCUUGAUGUUAAAGUUGAACAUGUUGCAAGAUUAGCUUGAGUAGACUUGUGAGUGUGUUUGAUGAUGAUGCUCUUUUCAAAGGUCAUUGCAACUUUGAAUUUUAACUUUUAGAUAUAAGAAGGUAGAGAUUGUCUCAUCAAGCGAGCUAAAAAUUUGUACAGAAAAAUUCGAGCUCAAAGUUGACUUGAAAGUUCAGGGUCAAAUUUUAUUUAUGAACUUCGAAAAAAAGUUGCAAUCAUUGGACUUUUAAUGUACAAAGAAAAUCCAUUAGAUUCAUAUAUUUGAUAGAACUUUGAUCUAAGGGUCAUCCAGACUUUUCUUUAGGCCAAAUGUUUACUUGAAAUUUUGAUUUGAUCUUAAUCUUGAAUUUGAUUUAUUUUUAAUUAGUGAUGAUAUAUCUUUAUUAUUUAUCUCUUAAUUAAUAUAAAUUAACUAGAGAAAAUGAACUAUGACACAGAUAUUGUGUCAUCAUUUUACCCAUGGUAAUUCUGCCUUUGACACAUAGUAAUUUUGAAUUGGCAUGUGUUGCUUUGUAACUUGUCCAAAAAUUUCGUUCUCUUUAUCAAUGUUUAUAUUUUUCUGUCAAUUUGUCCCUUGUUCUUUUUUUUAUAAGUUAGUUUUGACCAUUAAUCUUUUAAAAAGAGUCAAUUUACUUUUCUUUAACAAAAAUGUUGAUUAAAACAUUAAUUUUUAAUAAGGUUGGCGUGGCAACCCGUGUAAUAGCCUAAGUGCACUUCAUGUUAACAUGACGCCAUUUGUUUAAUAUGUCACGCCAACUAAUAGUCUAAAUUUUAUAUAAAAAAAAACCUCAAAAAAAUCAAAAUUCAACAAAAUAAUAAAAAAAGUUCAUAAUUAAAAACAACAACAAGAAGAAGUAUAUGUGGAUUUUCAUGUGGGUUGCAAUGUUUAAAAAUUUCACAUUCUAGUCAGUAUUUUCAUUAAAAAAAUUAAUUUGACUAUUUUUAAAAGAUUAAUAGUUAAAUUUGACUCUUUUUAAAAUGUUAAAAUUAACCCAAUUUUAUUUUUUAAAAUAAAUAUCGAAUUAACAAAAUAUGUAAGCGUUAGAAAUUUGUGAAGACUAAUUUCAUAACUGAAGUAGAUAAUACUUUCUUCAUUUGCAAUCUAAUAAUCUUUGUACCAAUAAUAUAUAUGAUAAAGAGUCUACGUCCAAAACUUAUACAUAGAUGUAGAGUGGACAAAGAGUACUCGUAAUAGUUCGUACACGUGACUAUUUCUAUAUUAAGAUAGGAAACUACGUUUUUAUGUACCAUGUUUAUACAUGAAAUAAGUGUAUACAUUCUUUUUAGUUAUUUCACUAUUUUAUUCGUUUAACUAUAUCCAACACCUACAAUAAUUUAAUGAUUUUAUUUUAUUUUAUUGCUAAAUUAGUGUAAAAUCGAAAAGAAAACUUAAAACAUAAAAAAUCAAUUUUACUUAUAAUAAAUGUUGUUAUAGCCGAUGAUUAUUAUAGAUAGAAUUGAUUGUAUGUACAUUUUAGUAUCAUACCGACUUAUUUCAGGUCAAGUUUGAAUAAAGCUUUUAUUUAUUUGGAUUUAAUUAAAUAAUAUUAAAAAAAUUUAAAAAAUUAAUUAUAAAACAUAUAAAUGUUAAAAUUUAAUUUAUUUUUAAGGAAAACGAAAUAUUGUAAUUUUUUAAAGAAAAUCCAACCUUGAAUAAUUCCAAUAUACCAUAAAAUAACUCAAGGCAUGCAUGAAUUACGUCAAGCUUGGGAUAGGCAAAUUGUCGUGCAAAAAAUAAUUUGACACAUGGAUAACACGUGGCAGAUGUUUUAUAUAUAGGCCAUCAUUUUCUUUUUGGUUUUUUGUUUUUGGAAUUUUUUUUGUUAAAAUUUUCCAUAAGUCCUUAUACUUUUCAUAAAUUUAGAAUUUAAUCUCUUUACUUUUAUUUUAAGCAAUUUAGUCUCUCUACUUUUUAGAUUUUUAAAAGUUGGAUUCAAUUGUUAAUACUGUUAAAAUUAUUUUGUUAAAUCUAGGUUUAUUACAACGUUAGAUUUUUAGUUACAUAACAAUAAAUGAGUUUUUUUUAUUAUUUCAAAAUAUCAAAUUAACAAAUUUAACAGAAAAAAAAACUACCAGUAUUAACAAUUGGACCUAAAUUUUGAAAUCUAAAAUGUAAAAAAAUUUAAAUUCUUAAAAAAUAAAAAUAUAGACUAAAAUUUAAAGUUAUAAAAAGUACAGGGACUUACGACAAAUUUUAAGCUUCUUUUCUUUCUUCCCAAGUUCAUUAAUUGUAAGCUGUAACGACUAGAGCCGCUUAUUUCACUUUUUUCCCCCUCCUUAUUUUCUUACCUUUUGCUUGACUUUCUUACAUUACAUGCCACGAGUUGUGUCGGUUGAAUAUAUUACCCUUUUAUUAUUUUCUUACAAUCCACCAUUGUUUUUGUAAAUAAAUAAUAAUUUGUUUUUCAUUUAAGUGUUAGGUUUGACUGUUAAUCGAGUAUUAGCUCGAUUAAUUUUGAUAUUAUUACCGGUACAGGAAAAUAUGAGUUUGAGUUGGUUGAAACGUAUUAUCUUUCUAUUUAAGAAUUGAGAAGGAACUAUAAGUAGUUAAGGUAAUAAAUCAAUAUAAUACCAAAAAAUAAAUAAAAAAUUAAAGAUUGUAUUUUUACAUAUUUCAAAUAUUUUAUUCUUUUUGGUCCUGCUUUGGUGAAUACAUGGUUGACUUAUUUGAUUUUUGACCUUUCACGUAAUUAAAGAUUGUGUUUUUAUAUAUUACUUUUAAGGACGUGGAAAAUAUUUUAUUUAUUGUACAAUGAUCCCCAUAUAAUAUAAUAUUAUCAUCAAGCGGUGAAAAUUCAAGUCCUCCAUCUUUUGAGUUUGAUUUUUAGCAAGUAUGAUAUAUUUAAAUUCAAGUGCUACAAUAGGGAUUAAAUUGCAAAAAUAAUAAUAAUAUUUAACCCCUUAAAAGUCUUUCUAAUAAUAUAUUAAACUAUUCAUUAAUGCAAAACUUGGACUUUCUAGGGAAGCAUGUGAUAAUAAUAAUUAACUUUAAAGCAUUUAACCUCCAACGGCAAAUCAGGUUUUAAUUUAAUUACAAAGCUUAAAUCAUAGAAUAAUAAUUCAAUAUUUUAAAUCAUAUAAUAAGAAUUUUUGGCAUGUAUUAAACAAUCUUGAAUGAUAUGCUAUUUUCAAACAUAUUUAAAUAUUAUUUAAUAAAUAAUAUCAUAUGAUAUUAAAUCCUUUAUAUAUAUGAGUUAAGUUAGCUUACGUGGCUUAGUUCUAUGGUUGCCACGUGUAAUGUUUUAUUAAUAGGCAUUCACAUUUUUUUUAAAAAUACAAUAUACGAGCUCAGAAAAAAUAGACCCUCAAAGGAAGAUCUUCAAAUUGUCUUAACCCUGACUUUUUAUCACAACUCAUCUUGACAAUACUAUCCGCCAUUGUGUUUUUCUCUCAAGGAAUAUGUUGGAUCUUCCAUUGUUUUACCUUUGUCAAGAUCUGAUGGAUUCUUCUAAGAAGAGUUGAGUUCGAGAUUCUAAAAGCAUCUUCCUGAAUAGCAUUAGCAGCCUUGAGACUAUCUGUUUGAGUUAAAAUCCUUUCAAAUAUUCUGUCUAAAAUAAGUUUUAAACACAAUUCGCCAUGUAAUUUUAUUCGUAAACAUUGGCUAAAAUCAUUGCAAAAUAAAAUUAAAUAUUCUUUAUUUGCAAUUUACAAUUUUUAUGGCAUCAAAUACAACUUCCAUAAACAUUUGCUCAAUACCAUCCAAACUUUUUGACCUUUUUACCAUCCAUUUUUUUUUAUAUAUUUUUAGUUCAUAUUUAUGCUCUCAUAAACUAAAAUUAGAAAUAAUUUCCAACAUUCAAUGUUUAUUAUUUGGGGACAUUCCAUAAAUAUUAUUAAAUUUCUUGAUUGGAAAAAAAGCAAAAUUAAAAUUUUUUAAUGGUCAAGAAAUAAUUAAGGAACUAGAUGACAAUGAAGAAAAAGUAAAAUUAAAGGAAAAAAUAUUUAUUCCACCACUUUUUUUCACUAUAUUUAAUUCAGAUAGGUACGCAGUAUGAUCUCUUUUUUUCAUUUUAUUUUAGUGUGGUAUAAUUACAUUAUUAGUCCUUUAAAUUAUGUUUAUAUUAGAUUUUAUUCUCAAUUUAUUACUCUUUUUAUUCUAUUUGCUCCUUGCGGACUUUUCUUUUUAUAUUAUAAAAUACAUAAAAAAAAAAACUAGUGAAUGGCAUCUGCCAUCUAUCCGAUCAAUAUUCGCUUUGAGAAUAUUUUUUAUUGAGUUUCAGGGUUAUGCAAAUUCCUAUAACUCAUUGCAAUUGAAACCGGCAGUUUUGGCUAAAGAAUCAACAACAAUAUUAUGGUAUUGAGGAAUAUGACGAAACCGUAUUUUCCAAUUGCGACACAUGAGUUGGCCUACCAAACACAACUCUGACAUAUUACUGUCUGCAGCUCUUCUAGAUAACAACAUUUCUACUACUAAAGCAUUAUCACUUUCUACCUCUAACUGUCUGAAACCCAAUUCCCAUGCCAACUUGAGUCCUUCUAGAAUAGCUCUUACCUCAAUUUUAAAGAUUGACUCCUUUUCGGUCCAAAGCUAUAUAACUAAUUGACACAACAAUCUCUAAAAACUCCUCCCAUCGAAUCGGUGUUACUAUAGAUCGAAACUCCACCAUCGAUAUUAAGCUUGACUCAUCCUCUCUCCAGUGGCAACCAAUGUGUACCAAACACGUUCUGUAUAUAAAACAGGUCACAAGAUUUAGAGUUCAUCGGUAUUGUUAUGACAAUUAUUAAAUAUGAAAUUGUUUCGACUUUUCCAUAACAACCAACAUAUAAUUACAAACCCAUUAUUAAUUUAUAUGUAUGCAAUAAUUUAGAGAUUUUUAAUAAAUUUAUGAACCAUUUUAAGUUUAAUAAGUAAUUCUCAUGAAUAAGAUAAUUUGUUCAAAUCUCUAUGUUAUUUUGAAUGUAAUAAUUAAUUAUAUUAACUGAAGUGUCUAAAUUUAAUCAUUUGUUCGUAGUUAAAACUUCAUUAUAAAAUAAUUAAAUGCAUCGGGAUAAAAAUAUUAAUUAUGUUUUAUAACGGUUAAUUAUGAUAAUAGCAAGAUCCCAACACUAAAUAAAUUAGAAAGGUUUUUUUCCCCAUAGGGAUUGAUACUAUAAAUGCUAUGAAACCAUGUUCGGUGGAUCACCUAGUGGGUGUGUGUGUGUGUGUAUAUAUGUGUAGCUUAUUUAAAGGAAAUUGAUGCUCACCAUUAAUUUUUCUUUUAUUUCCUUGAUUGCUUGUGGUUUACAUUUGGUAUCAUUUUAAUUAUAUAUAUAUUUCCUUUUAUAUCAUAUUUUUAUAUAAAUGUGAAAGUAUUAUAAAGGCUCCUGUACUAACAGUCGGAAUACAUUUUACUCAUUCUAUUUAAAAGAUAGAUAAUUAGUCUAUGUACGUUAGAUCAAAAAACAAUUGGGUACUUUUAGUUAAAAAUUUCAUUUAUUUAUAUUAUUAAAAACUAACGUAGUUGAUGGAAUAACCAGAUAGUAACAUGUGGUGUGCCAUGUGCAUCUCAUGCUGACAUAUAAUGAUUCUUUUUUAACAAUAUAAAUAGAUAGAAUUUUUAACAGAAGGAUCGGUUUGCUCUUUGAUCUAAUGUACAAGUAUUAUUUUUCCCUUUUUCGAAUAAAUAGGAUGAAAUAUAAUCUGACUCUUAAUAUAGAGACCUCUACAAUACUUUUACUUAUAUAUAAAUGUGUGGUUCAGGCUAUUUCCGUGGUGACCUAUGUCAAUAUUAUUUCUUUGUUUCACUUUUUUUUAAAAAAAAUUCAACAAAUUUAAACCUUGAGGUUUAAAUGUGUAAAAAUAUUUUACACCCAACAUUAAAUUUAUUAAAAUAUCUCUAUUUAAUACACAAAUACAUUUUUAAAUAUAAUUCUAUUUUGCCAUUCAGCUUGUAUUCAUUAAUUAGUAUUAUCAAUUUAAAGUACACGAAGGGUGAUGAUUAUUUAUACAACAAAUAGACCAAGAAACCACAAUAUGUUGGAUCAAACCAUCUCUCACUUCAAAAUUUUGACAAACAUCUAGAAUGAAUAUUGAAGAUGCUUGGUAAAUAAUUUAAUUAUGAAAGAUUACAAGUCAUGCUAUAUUUUUUUAUAGUUUGAAAUGUAUACAAUUCACAUAUGAUUUUAUUCGUUUUUUUUGUACCAAAUAGUUAACAUUAAAGGCUUAAUUUGAAAUUUGUGAAUAUACUGUUAUCUUCGUUGAUAUACUGUCAUUAUUUCAUUUUUUUUUCACUUAUAACUGCCAACAUACCAUAAUUUUAUAUCAUAUAACUACAUAAGAUGCAUGUUAAUUAUUCAUAUUAUUGUUAUCUCCUAUGAAAAUAAAUAAAAAAGUUGUCUUUUGCAUGAAAAUAGAUGCACAAAAAAUAAGUGAGAAAAAAGAGAUUGUAAUUCAGCAAAAAUUGGAGUUUUCCUCUAUAGAGUAAAGAAUAAAAAAAAAAAACUUAAAAAAUACAACUUCUAGUUCUAGGGAAGGUUCAUAGUUUCACCCCCUAGGGCAUUGCACAUAUAAUAUAAUACAACAUCCUCUUGUUUUCCUCAACCAAUUAUUUAUAAUACUAUUAAUUAUAAAGGGACAUUGUUUAAUAUUGGCAAGCAAAGCAUCUCUUCCAACAUUUAUAAUCUUAUAAUAUUAUAUUAUGUAUAUAGAAAGUCAUACAAAUUGCAAAACCCAAAUUUAAACCAUCCUAUACCUUCCCUCUUUUUCAUAGAUGCUUUGCAAUUUAAAACUUAGAUAAUGUUUGAAAAUCAAAAACUAUUAUGGAAAUGCGUGCUCUUAUACUUUAAUGACUUUCAUUAAGAUUAAACCUUAGAAAAAAUGUAAAACUUUUUACAAGAUGAUACGAUUACAGACACAACACAGGAGUAUGGGUUGAAGUCUGAUCAAUUAUAAUGACAUAUAAAAUCAAAUCAUUACAAAACUCAACAGAGGAAUAAUUGAAGAAAAUUCACAGAUGACGCUCAUACGCAAGACAAUUGUGUAUGAUGAGAUUCAAACCUAAGCCUUCGCUUAACCAACAAGCUAAGUUCUUAUUGGCAUGGGUUUUUUUUUUUUUUCAAUGUGAAAGAACAAUAGAAAAGAUUAAUCAAUGUGAAUAAUUAACCGACCAAAGUGACACUUAAUCCUAUUUGGGUUGAGCCCACCAUUGGGUUGACUAAGUCAUUAUGGGCCAAAAAUUCUUUAACCUAUUGGGAUUAGGUGUCCUUUGGGUCCCUCCUUAAACGUGUUAUAGGUGUAUAAUACUUGUUGAAAUUGAGGGGACCUUUUUUGAGUGGAAAUUUAGGGAAAUAUUGUUUUUUAGCCUCUUUAAUUUGGGUGCUUUCACCACUCCACCAAAUUAAGUGGGAGAAUAAUAAAGUUUGUUGAUAUCUAUUUCUUUAUUUUACCACACGCAAUUGAAUUGAAUGGCUGAGGGAGAAAAAAAAAAGGCAAAAUCUUGCUCUAAAAGUUUUUAUUAUUCUUAUUGCUUAAGGAUCUCUUUUAGGGGCUUUUAACUUUUAUAUAUAUAUAAUUAAGGUAGUUAGGUUUUGAAAUUUGUUCCAUGAUGUGAGGUAAAUAGUCAUGCUUUUGUCACAAAUAAUGUAAUAUAUAUAUAUGUGUAUAUGUAUAUACUUUUUUGACUUUUGGGUAUAUUUCCAUUGUGCAUUAAUUUACAACAUUCUUGUAUAAUAAUUUUAUUUUUAAGAUUAUUAGUUCAGUUAGUGUUAUUGUUAUUACAACAAUUUAGAGAAGUUCGAAUCUGUGCAAGUGUGUAUUAUUUUUCAUUUUUUAGGGAUUGUCGUGGAGUGUAGAUUAUAUAGUGCAAAUCCAUGCGCAAGGAAGACCAUUCCAAAAGGCCAAAGCCACGCACAACUCCAAGCAGAACUGAUAAUUAGAUCUGUUUAUAUUCAGAUGGAGCGGUUAAGGUCAAUUAUAGGGAUGUUGUCGUGGGGGGUAUUAUCAGUGAUCAACAUGGGAAAAACAACGAUCUCGCCUUCAUUAAAACACAUGUUUAAAAUGUGAGAACUUCCAACUCGAUAAAACUUAGUUGAGGGUUAGAUAGCUAGGGUUUAUAUUUAUAUAUUUAUGAAGUCUAUGUCUUGGAAAAUACUACUUUUUUCUUUUCUUUUCAAUUUUCUCCCUUUACUUUUUAAUGCUUACAUAUCUAGAACAAACCGAUAGAAGUUGAAGGGAGAAUAAAGGUCAAUGUAUUUAUUGCAAUUUUAUUUAAUUAUUUCAAAAAAGGGAUCUUUUCUUUUACAAGUUUGUAUUGCAUGUCUCACAUGCUUUGCUUUAAUGGUUUCUCAACUAUAUAUAGAGCUAUGAGAUUGUGAUAUUUAUUGUAUACAAUACAAUCUCUACUUUUAAUUUAUUCAUGUUUAGUCGGUCCAAUUUUCCUUUUUAACAUCAUCUUUAUUUUUUAGAUAUAAAUAUUUUUAAUAAAAUUCUUACUCUUAAUUCUUUACAUAGAAAUAUAAUAUACAAUUAAACGCAUUUGAAUUUAUAUUUUUUAGUUGUUACAUAACAAUUGUGCCAGUCAAAAGUAAAAAUAUUGUAGAGCUCAGAUUGCAUUUUGUCCUACUUAUUUAAAAAAAAUAGGUAAAUUAGUCUUUAUACGCUAUGUCAACGAGUAAACUAGCUCUUUCAGGUAUCAAUUUCAUCCAUUUUCACUAUUAAAAACUGGCGUGAUUGAUGAAAAAUCAGGCAAUCACAUGUAUCUCAUUCUGACAUAUAGGACUGAUUUUUAACACUAGAAAUUAAUAAAAAUUUAAUAAAAUGAUCAGUUUGCUCUUUGAUCUAACGUACACAGAUUGAUUUCUCAUUUUUUUAAAAUAGAAUUUAACUCGUAAUACAGAACACUCUAUAAUAGUACUGACUAUAUAUAUAUCGUAAUAAAUGAUUUUAAUUAUAGUUAUUUGUACAUAUUGAAUAUGUUAUAAAUAUAAAGAAAACGUAUGAAAUUGAAAAGUGAAAACCGACCCUUAAUUCUUGGACGGUUUGUCUACCUUCAGCACUUGUGGUUCGGUAAAACUCAUUGACUACUAUUUUGGCAACAACUUUACCUUACUUUUUUACUUUCACACCAUCAAUGCCUUAUUUAGUAUUGUUCUUUAUAAAGACAAUAAUUUAAUGGGUUUGAAUAACGAUAUAAUUCAAACCUUAUUCCUUAAAUUAAAUUUUAUACAUUAAUUAUUAAAUUAAAAUGUUGGGAGUGUAAAUCCCGUAUAUUAGUCUGAUGGUUAAAACAUUCAUCAUCUUGUGAUUUGAAUUCGAGUCAUGCUAUUCGCGCUGCUCUUAAACCUACCUUUGAAUUCUUGCUUUAUUCUUCUCUAACCUUUAAAUCAAUGAUGGAAUUAAAAAGGUUGACACAUGGUUUUUUCCUUUAUUUGUUUGACUGAUGUCAAUAAUCAUUUUAUUCUGUCGAUCUUUAAGUUAAUUAAUGAAAAUUAAAUAUUUGAUACAUCGAUAGUGCAUAUAUCGUUAGUAAAUCAGAUGAAUGUAUUUAAACAAAAAUUGAUCUUAAAAUAUAAAAUUUAUCUUUUGCCUCCAAAAAUAUACAACUUUUAGCUUGUUCCCUGGGUAUAAAACAUAGUUUUUUUUCCAUCUAACUUGUGUACAUUAUUAUUAUUAUUAUUAUUAUUAUUAUUAUUAUUAUUAUUAUUGCACUCCAAAUCUGGAGCUAAAGUUUUGAAAUAUAAAAAAGACAAAAUUUAAAUAUCAGUGCUGCAAUUUGAAAUUAUUUGGGUGCCUGCCAAAAGUAGUUACCUCCAAUAAUAUAUUUUAAAGCUAGGGAAAAUAGCUUUACAACAUAUAACCAGACAGCUUCCCCAAGUCCUUUGCUCAGACUUAAAUUAAAUGAUGUUUGCUACUGUUCCAUUUAUUAAAAUGAUUGCUUUUACUUUCUCUUUUAAGUGAUUAAGUUUUAUUAUUGUAAAAAGAAAAACUUUACUUGCACUCUGGUGCUGAUUAUGUAUAACUAUUCAAAAUAUCAAUUUGAUGGAGUGUCGGAUUUGUGAAAUUGGAACAUGUUUACUUGAAUGUGUUUGGUAUUGAACCCAAGUUUUUAUACCUACAUCAUAAUACAGACUUUCAAUAUAUUAAACAUGUGAGAGAUUAGCGUUAAUGAAAGAUGUAAUAACUUAAUAUAAUCGUGUAAUACCUAAUUAUUGACUAACUCCUUAUGUCGAAAGUGAGAAUUUUUUCGAGCAGAACUUUUCAAGUGUAUGUUUGUACCAAAAAAAAAAAAAAAAAAAGGAAAAUUCAUGUGUGGGUGUAAUAUAGUGAUAUAGAUAGUAAACCAAGGUUGGUGACAAUUGGGAUACCAAAAUUGCAAACUUUGGAUCCACCUUUUUUUGUGAAUCAAAACCUCUCUAAUCUGACUUCUGGUGCCCACAGAUUCAGACUCCCAAAGUAAAUCCAGGAACUGGUAUACUAUAUAAAUUGGGGUUUGAAAAUUCCAAUGAUGAGAGGUGUGGCAUGUGAAGGACAUGAAGAAAUGCUGCACAAAAGGAAAUAAAACCCCUUAAGAAUGUCUUGGACUUAGCAACUUCAUCAGAGAUGUACGGAUACAUUAAAAAAGGUUAAAUGAGAUUAGAAUUGCAGACCCAAUAAUCAUGGGGUCACGAACCAUCAUGUUCAUCAUCACAUGAGACACGGACAAAUCAUAGUCCCCCCAAAAAACCAAGUCUCGGAAUUUGGGGAAAAUAAAAAAGAAGAGAAAAGGAAAGGGAUAUGAAUUUUCCUCGCACUAAGAUCUAACCAUUUCAAUGUGUGUGUUUUAUGCUGAAUUCAGAGGUGGUGCAGACUGCAGAGGCAAAUGAAUCAUGAAUUGAUGACCCAAGUUUUUUGGUGGAUAAGAUAAGGGGAAACCACGUGAUUCCCACAUGGUUAUAAUGGAACAUGAAUAAAUAAAUAACCAUGAGUUUAGGAGGAAAGAGGGGACUUUGACCUUGCCUAUUGCACACAGUACUGUUUCAUUGAGCGUUGAAUCCUUUUCUAUCGUCUGUCUUUUCUUCUCAAUCCAUUUUAUUUAUAUUUAAUUUACGGUCAUUUCCUUUUCUUUAUCUUCAAUCUCCAUCUCUUCCUCCCUCCUCCUAUCUCUUAUCCUUUUUAUGAUUUUCUUUGUCAUUGCCUUUGUUUUUUUCUUUAAUGACCGAAUUAAACAAUCAAACGUGAAUAUGAUCUUAACAAAGAUUGAUGCAUCGAGAUUUUAAGUGUUUAGAUUCAGGUUCUAUCAUACAUGUUUAUGCACAUGGGGUUCUUAAUCUAUGUUGCAAUAUGGUUUCAAGUUCUAUUAUAUGUUUGAAUUGAUAGAUUCUGGUCGUAAUUAUACAAAUGUAUUGAUUGUAGUUAUAAUUUCAUUUGUGCAUUAUAUGAUUGAUUUUAGUUAUAGUUAUACAAAUAUAACUCAACAUUCAAAUAUAUAUAUCUAUAACACGCACCCAUUUAAACUAUUACACAAGCAUGACCUACGGAUCGAUUUUACGACUUUAAAAAAUACUGGGUUCAGAUCGUUAUAUAUAUUAAACCCUAAUUACCAACAUACACAAAUAAUGUUAGUAGGAUUUGAAAUAUCAAAAUUAUAUAUAAUGAGGCAAAAGAAUGUCUUGUGGUUUAAGAAGUGGCCUCAAAUAUAUAUUAUACAUGGAAAAGAGUGGGACAAAGAGGGGGGAAAAAUCAAGGAUGUCAGAGACCAAUUUUAAAGAAUGAAGAGUCAGUUUCGAAAAUUCAUAGACUGCAAUGUCUCACAAAGAAAGCAAAGAGUUAGCAAGAUCAUGUCUUUAAGCAUUCCAUUUCCAAUUAUACAACAUGUCACAAAAAAGUUAGCAAGAUCGAUCCCACACUUUGUAAUAUAGGCUUUUAUGCAUGUAUUAAAAUGGGAUUCACUUACAUUGUAAUUAUAGUCUUAAAAUACCCUAUGUUUUAUUGACAUAAAAUUAAAGUUUUAACAUGCUUUUUUUUUCUAACCCAAGUAUGGGUGUUUUGUAUCAAAUUUGUUGUAAUAAUUUACAAGUUAAGAAAAAUUAAAAUUAGGUGUUAAAUUUUUAAUUCCAGGUUUAUAUUAGAAAAUCAUUUAAUAAAUGAGUAAAAACUAUUUUUUUUUGUUUAAUAAUAGUAAAUAUUGAUUUUUGAAAAAAAUAUUUAUUUUUUGGUUUUAAUCUUAUUAGUAUAUUAGUACUUUAUAUAAAUUUUUAGAUAAAAAUAAAUAUGAUAAUUUGAACAUAUCUAUUUUAAAAAGAAUAAUUUAUUCCAAAUUUAGUUUUUGUUAAUAAAAUAAAAUCAAUUUAAAUAUUAUAUUAAAUAAAAUAUUAAAAUGAUUAUCAAACAUAUUUAAAAUAUUAAAAUUUGAAAAUGGUAGUGAAAUCUUUAAUGGUUUGUUUUAAAAUAAAUAUUGUGGGAUUAUUCUAUGGAAGACCUUAAAAGAACAAAGAAGACAAUUAAUUGGUUCAAUUAUGCCCUUAUCCCUAUACUUCUCAAACUUUUAAAAUUGAGUCCUUCCACUUGUAUUUUUAGGAAUUUAAUCCUUUCACAUGCAUGAUUUAAAAUUUAAAAUCCUAUCGAACUAAUGGAUUUCCGUUAAAUUUGAAAAUGAAACAUUUUAAUAUUCAAAGUUGUUAAUUAAAAAUCAAAAUCCAAUUGAUCACAUACAUUUAAAUUUAAUGUAAAUCAAUCAACAAUGUUAUCAAUAAUUAAAAUAUGUCAUAAGUUUUUGUACUCUUACUAAAUUUGUAAUUUAAUCCCUUUAUCUUAUUUCUAAGAAUUUAGUCCCUUUACUUUUCAAAUUUCAAAAUUCAAGUCCAAUAUUAUCAUUGUUAACAAGUGAUUUUUAUUUCUUUAAAAAUAUAACAACAACAAAUUUAACAACGUUAAUAAUUGGACCUGAAUUUUGAAAUAUGAAAAAUAAGAAGAAUAAAUUCCUAUAAAUAAAAAUACAAGGACUAAUUUGAAAUUUAUGAAGAUUUUAACCCAUUAUCAAUACACAAAUAGAAAAACUAAAAAUUUAAAAGUGGGAAGAGUAGAAGCAUUAGAAACAAAAAUUAGAGGUUAUUAAUUGAAGAAGGGAUGGAAGUACCCUUAUUUGUAGGGGUGAGGGGUGAGGGGUCCAUUUAUAGAAACUGUCUGAAAACAACAUGCAGAUAAAAACAUGCAGAGGGUGAAAUGAAUGAAUGAAUGAAUGGCAGAUGAUCUUAAAGCCCCCCUCCCCCUUCACUGUCUCUGCUCAAAAAGCGUUCCUUGGAUUCCUCUUCAUAUAGAGAGAGAAAGACAGUAAAUGAUUAAUAAAAAAAAGCAAAGUAAAAAAGGAAGGUGUUUGAAGAGCUUCAUUCAUGGCUACCCCCUGCUUCUUUUUCUCUCUCUUUUUUUUUGGGUCCAAUCUGCCAUUUUUUUGUUUUUAUUCACUACAUUUCUGCCCACUUCCUCCUUCUUAUGCUUGUCGUUAAUUCAGAUCCUCCCAACAAACCUUACUUGUUUUUUCUUUUAUCUUUAUAUAUAUGUAUACGUAUAUAUACAGAGUCAGUCGAAAAUAUUCUUAAACAUGCAGGUACAAGAUGGCAAAUCCAUGCUUAAUAUUUGGUUGAUAAGGAGGGGGUGGAACAGCACGUGACACCCAUUUUAUAUACAAAAAAUAAUUAGAAAUUAUAAUUAUGAUCCUAAUCCAUAAUCUUUUCUUAAUUAUAUAUAAUGAUUUUUUUUUAUUUUAAUUUGAUGUGCAUGUGCAUGCACACGUGAAUUGACGCGUAUAUACAUGAAAACAAUAAUCAUGGUUUCUUUUUUUGGAGCUAAUAAUCAUGGUUAAUUAUUGUUUAUAUAUGCUUUAAUCUUUUUUUCUUGGACUUGGUAUAUAUGAUUAAUAAAUUUCAUUUAACUUUCCGACCAUUCUCGAACUACUUCAUUAUGAUUUGGUCCUUUGUUUUUUUUUUUAAAUAUAAAACAAACUUUUGUUUCUUUUUUUGUCCUUAAUAAAUUGUGUGUUUGUUUACAUGUUCUUGUUAAAUGGGUCAGUGAUUUCAUAAUUCAUCUCUCAAACCCUCAUUUUCUCCUUCUUUUACUUCGUUGUGAAAUAUACAUAUACAUGCAUACAUGAAAAGGGUUUUUUUUUUUUAAUGUAACUGUAAAUUUGAUUUUUCCCUUUCUUUCUUCAAUUAAGUAUUCAAUUGGGGUUUUUGAUUGUAGGGGACAAAUUAACUCGAUUAAACAACGAACAAAGUGAAAAAAAUAAGAAUAAAAAAGAUCGAACACGCGGAUUUUACGUGAAAAAAACUCCUCUGGGAAUGAUAAAAACCCACGGGUAAAAGGAGAUUUUACUAUAAUAAAAGAGAACACAAAAGAUGGGGAGAAUUAAAAGAAAAACCUGAAGCCCCAUGAGAAAAAAGAAAAACUUUGAAACAAAGAACAAAAUUUUCUCAAUCUACAACAAUUCUAGAUUAAUCAGAAUUUAAGUGAGAAACUAAAAACAAAGUUUAACUGAGAGAAGAAGUUUGCUUCCACAACAUAAGUUGUGUCUUUGUUAUUAAGUCUCAAGUUUAUAAUUUAGGAUUAGUAUCAAGUAGGCUACUAAUGGAGUUUUAUAAACUUUACAAUUAGGUCGAUAAAUUUUCAAGUUUUCUCAUAUUUAUAAUUUUCAAUUGGGUAAAUCCAAGGGCAUAGUGGAGGGCAAAUAAGGCCUUGACCCCUUUGCUCAAUGUUAUAAUUACGGUCAUAGCAUUUUUCUAAAUAUCAAUUAUUUAAUUUAGUCCCUUUUAAUUUUUAUUUAAAUGGAUCAUUUUCAAAAGUUUAAAUUUUAAUGAUUUUAUUAUAAAUAUUUUUAGCUUUUCCCCAGCCAUUUUUUUAGUUUUAUCUCGAUCCCUCGUCACAUAACUCAAAAACGAAUUAGGAUAUUACCCAGUGUCAUUAUAAUAUAUUUUGAAAUAAAAAUAAGAAAAAAAGACACAUUAAAUAUUUUAGCAUUAUAAACGAAUUUUAUUUUGGUGGACAAUGUAUAGAAUAAUUAUUGGGUUAAUAUAAGUUAAAAGAUAUUACCAAAUAAUGAUAUGCUAUUUUAACCUUUUUGAAUAUAUUUUGGAUAUAUUUUAUGAAUUAUUAUUUAUGAUAACCUUUUUGAAUUUGUCAAGGUUCAAAAAGAAACAGAAAUGUGAAAAUAUUUGACAAAAUUUGAGUUUGGGCCCAGUUCCUUAAAUUCCAUUAAUUUCCCACUCAUUCAAAGGUGGAGGAAAAGGGUGAUGUCCAUGGGCCACAUGUAUCUUCAUAUUGCACAUGAUUAAUUGGUUGAAAAAGUAAAUUUAAAUAAAAUAAAAUAAAAUAAAAUAGAAAAAAAGGUAUGAAAAAUGGGCUUAUAAUCAUUAAUUUCUUAAACAGCCCAAUCAAGAUAACAAUGAUUUUUCUCUUGGCCCAUUUCCACCAAUUACUUCACUUAAAUACCACUUCUUAUCCCACUAUUGGUAAGAAAAAUGAUUUCCAAAUCAUUUGGUAUUUAUAAAUAUAAAUAAACUUCACUUCAACUACACUCUUUUUACAUUUAGCUUUGGGGUCAAUCAAGGGGAGUGAAACCCAAUCUUUGGGGGUCAAAAUCCCACUAUUUCAAACUAAUAAUUAAUCAUGAUUUUCUUUACCUUAAAUCAUCUCUAGAUUCUCCAUAAAAUAUUCAAUUAUUUUAUCCCUAGUUUAACAUAUCAACUCACCAAUAGUUUUGUUAUGAUUAUCAUUACACUCAUCAUUCCAUCCUAUUGGGUUCAUUUUUUUUAUUGUACUUAGUUUUCAAUGAAACAAAAUGUACUUCGUACUUGUAUGUGUAUUAAAUUCUCUCUAAAUUUUGGCAUACUUUAACCAAAACAUCAUAUUUUCAAAAUACAUAUAUUUUAAGUUUUUAAAGAUAAAAUUUGGGGUUUAAUCUGAAUGAUAGUAGUGGAUGCUGAUCUUGUGCAUAGAUAUUGCUGACUUAACCUCGAAAAUUAAUUUACUUCCAGUUAAUAAUUUGAUUUUAAAACGACCCGAUAUAAAAAAUUUGAUUGAUAAGUUCUUAUGAUCCUACUCAAAAUAACUUGAAUUCAAAACGGUUCGUAAUUAGAAAAUUUGAGUUAAUGAGUGGGGACAAAAGCCUGUGGAUGCCAUUGAAAGGUAGGCAGGCUACUCUGGCAUGCCAACCACAUUGCAUAGACAAAUAUAGCUAUUGCAGAGGAAAAGGGAAACACAAUCAAUGAUAAUGGUAUAGGCAAUAAAACAUGGGUAAACCCCAUAACAUGAAAAAUUAAAAUGGGGAUUAAGGAGAAGAAGUCACAUGAUUUUUUCUUUUAAUUUAUGAAGCCAGUAUUGUGCUGAUGGGAUUGGAUGUCUCAUUGGGUUGUUUUUUUCUUUUUAAAAAGUUGAAACAUUAAAUAAAUCUUGUCUUUGUGAGAACAUUUGGUGGCUCAUUGUUUUAGUAAUGUCAUGUCUCAAUCUUUGCUAAAUGAAAAUUGUGGUUUUUUGGGGGGUUGAUUUUGAAGCAGAUGAAGGGAGCAGAAGGAUGCAAAAAAAGUAGGAAUCUUUCACAUGUCAAUCAGUGGUUAAAUUAUUGUGAGGGUUUUAGGAAUUGGAUAAGCUUAAAAACCCACAUGGCAAACACACUCCAACAAUAAUGAAAGAAAAUGAAAGGGAAAAAAAAAAGAAACAUGUUCAAAGUUAGUGAUGAUGGGUCCAUUUUUGUAUAAUUAUAUGUUUAAAGACUUGUGCAUAAGUAACAUCUUAAAAUGUCCUUAUAGAUCACAUCUCUUUCAUAUCCAGAUGGAUUUUUAUUAAAUUUAUUUAUUAUUUUUUUGUUAUUUUAUUUGCGAUUUGAUUUUUAGGUGGGUAUAGAUGGACGGUAUGGUGUGGUGCGUUUAGCUUACUUUUUGUCUCACACUACAGUGUCGCUACAGUAUUUAAUCUCACCACCACCGUUACAAAUAAAUAUACUGUCCAUCUAAACCCACCCUUAAUUUCAUAAGGAGGAGAAGAAGAAAGAGAUGGUAGAAGGAAAAAAAACCAUGCAAGCCAAAAAUAUACUUAUAUUCUAUAACACAUUCUAUACAUCAAUAUCAUCAAAAUUAGAUUCGUUCAAUUAUUUGUUAUAUUGUAUACAAAGAAUUAUAAAUUUAUGAUUUAAAGAAAUUAUUUAUUUUUGGAACGAGGGUCUAAAUAGUAUUUGUUUCGAUCAUAAAUGCAUAAAUCGAUUUAAAAUUUUAAAUUAAAAGAGUGUUCUAUAGUGAGAAAAAAGAAGCAUCUACUAAAUACUUUGAACAUAUAUUAAUUGUUACAUUUGGUAAAAUCGAAUACUUGAGUUGUGAAUAUCCACGUUUGAGAUUUACAACUCGUAAUUAUAUACGUGGGUUUUGGAGUCUUAUUAUGUGUUGUUCUCAUUAGGGUUGUUCAAACUGUCGGUUCGGUUAAUAACCGAAUGUAAAAAAUUUUAGCCGUUAAUUGAACCGAAUUUUUUUCCAAAUACAUUAACCGAACCGAAAUAUUUUGGUUAAUUCGGUCAGUUAACCGAAUUAAUCGAAAUUUAUAUGUUUUUUUGUCUUUUGAUUAAAAUAAGUAUAAAAUAUAUAAAAUAUACAUUGCUAAUGUUAAUUUUUUUAAUAGUUCAAAAAACUUUAAAUGGAGGCGAAAAUAACAAAUAAUACAUUAGAAACACUACAUAAAUCUUGAAAGUUAACAACCAAACAAAAAUUUAACAAUUAUGUAUAAUAUAUAUUAUUUAUUUCGGUUAAUUACUCAAUUUCGAAUCGAAUUAACCAAUAACCGAAAUUUCAAAAAGUCAUUACUAACCUCAGACCGAACAAAAUUCAGCCACCGAUCGACUAACCGAAUUAGAUCGAUUUAGUCAGUUAAUUCAAUUUUAACUGAACUAUGAACACGCUUAGUUACCAUGUAUGGAAUUUACAGUUAGUCAAAUUUAACUUGAACUGUUCUAGUUCUUAAUCCGGGCUGUAAUUGUUUGAUUUUACAAUUUGUUCCAAUUCUUACUUUAUUUGUCCUAUAACUGUUUGAUUCUACUCUUUAUGGUUGCUCGAACAUGUACUUUUAUUUGUGCUUUUACUGAGUUUGUAAAAUUUAAAAGAAAAAAAGACUUUAUAUUAGUGAAUUAUAAUUAAUUUAUAAAUUUUCGAGGGUUAAAAUAUAUAUUAUUUUAAAUUUUUUUAAAGAAAGCAAACUACAAUUUUAUAUUUUUGGGGACAAAGUUAUUUUCUUUGAUUAAAUCUGUAUUAUAUAAGAUUCAACAUGAAAAUUUGAUAUUUCUCUCUCACCUAUUAUAUUUAGUAAAUUGGCUUUCAAUCCAUAAUUCAAUAAAUGUUGAAUAUUGCCUGCAAAGCCCAAUGCUUAAAUUAAAAUCCAAACCACAAAGUCUUAUGGGUGGAAACCAUUAUAGGAUAGCCCACAUCUAAACUAAGUUGGGUUUCUGGCCCAACAUGUAAUUUCAAUGUGAUAUCUAUUCACUACUUUAUUUGGUAGCUGAUAUUUGCAUAUUAAUAAUUAAUACAUAUACUUAAAUACUUUUUAUUAUGGAAAAAAAAUAUGCAAUUGAUUUAUUUUCUAAAUAAAUAAUGUCGAAACAUUAAGCUCAAUUGAGGACUUCAAUGAAUUUUUUUUUAUAGGAAAGUACGAACAUAAAGCAAAAGACAAUAAUCAGUUCAAGUUUAGUUCGAUAUUGAUAUCGACACAAAACGAUCAAUUAUCAAUAAAUUUUAAACCGCAAUCGAAAGAUCUUUAAAUAUGUGUAGAUUUAAACUUUUUGUUACAACCCAUUUAAUAGCAACAAGUUAUUGCAUUUAGCUAUCAAGUUUUGAUACCCAUUUUUUGAAACAAGAUACCCUCAAUUCAUUUAUAGGUUACUUUCAUGUGAUCUGUUUUGACAAGUUGAAUAUGCUUAUUUUAUUAUUAUUAUUAUUAUUACAAUAAAUGUUAUUGCAUUUUAUUUAAGGUUAGUAUUUGUUCAUUGAUAAUAUAUAUUUUUUAUUUCACGAGUAGUCUUAAAAAAUUGUUACGUGUUUUUUUUUAAAUAUAUAUUUUUUUAAAAUUUUACUAUAACACUAUAGGACACUUGUCAACCUUUAACUUUAUUCAUGGAGUCUAAAAACUCCACUAGCACUUACCAAAUAUUAUUUCUUUUAUUUAUAUUUGACCAUUAAGGUUUUAUCUUGAUUGGGUCCCUAAAUAUAAACCAAAUUUUUUAUGAAAAACGUAUGAAAUAUCUAUCCUCCGGACUCCCACCACAUAUGUGACAUUAUUCCAACUAUCACCAUUAAAAAAAAGUUGUCACUACCCUUUAAUUGGUAAAUAAAAUAUAACUUCAACACGAGUUUAAAAAGUUCAGAAAAGAAAGUCCUUACAUAAUAUCCAAAUGCAAAUAAUUUCUCAAAUACAUCAUAAAUGUCUUCAAGUGUAAAAAUUCCAAAAAUCAAUCAAUACAUGUCACUACCAUUGCUUCUGUAUCACAUUCAUCUUUUAAUUCUUCUAUCAAUUAUGAGCAUUAUAUCUCUUUAACUUCACUUGAACUUGCAUAUGAAAAACUGUGUUGAGUACUCUCCUUUUUUUAAAAGGUGGGUGAGAAACUGUGGAGUGCUCUCAUUUUUUUCUAAAAAAAAUAAUAGUGAAUGUGAGUUAAGUACUGAUACCAAAAUUAAAUUUUUGUAAAUAUUUAUUUUUUAAAUAGGCUUAUUAUAUUAUGCAGGGCUGGCGGGGAUGAGAUAGGUACAAUGUUAUACCCACGCCUGUCUCAUCACUCACGACAGGUCUAAUUUUUGUCUCUAUCCCUGCCCCACCACCCUGAAACCUGUACCCAUCCCAGCCCAAUUGAGGGUGAAAUGGGGCGGGACCCUGCGAAACCCGCCCCACUGAUGUCCCUAAUUUACCCUAUCAUCAGUUUUUGAAAAGUUAAAAUAUAUUGAAAUCCUUCUAUUCUUUAUACAUUUGAAAUUUAGUCUUUUUACAUUUAUUUUAAGAAAUUUAGUCAAUUUACCUUUUAGACUUAAAAAUACAACUUCAAUUAUUAAUUCCGUAAAAAAAUUUCUGUUAAAUUUAAAUUCAUUACAAUAUCAAUAUUUUUCUCACAAGACUAUGAAAUAAGUAAUAUUUCUUUUAUUUUAAAAUGCUACACUAGUCAACUGCAUUAAUAAUUAAACAUAAACUUUGAAAUUUGAAAAAUAAAGGUUUGACAUAGAAUUAAGUGACCACAAAACAUUUUAUGAUGGAAAUGUGGAAACCAAACAGUGAGUAUAUGCAAAUGCAAAGCCUAAAACAAAUAAUUAUAUCAAUUGGUCAAAAUGUUCGGCUUAUUUAAGCUACAUCAUAAUCCUUUUUUAAUUUUUCUCUUCUAUUUUUUAGGCUUAAUGACAAGUUUAAUCACUACUAUUUACAUAUUGUGUCAAAAUGAUCCCAAUUCCAUUUUUGAGCUUUUUUGUCCAUUAACCUUUGUUUUUUUUUUGUUUGUUUUUUUCAAGCUGCUUUUUCUAAUAGACUUGAUGAAAGUACCGUUAAAAAAUUUAACGGGGAUGAUGUAAAAUAUUUUUACUGAGAUGUAAUUUAUUACUUAGGUAACUCAAUAAGAUAAUUACAUGUAAAAAUAAUAAAAUAAAUAAAUUAUACAUGAAAUUAAAAAAUAACUCUUAAUUUAAAGAAAAUAAACGUAAUUAUCUAAAAAAUGGUUUCAAAAUGAAUGCAUACAUUUGUUUACUGACAUGUUUCAAAAAGAUAAUUAAUAAAUCAAACCGAAAAAACUGAAUGUGUGCGUACAUUUCGAAACAAUUUUUUAGAUAAUUACGUUUAUUUUCUUUAAAUUAAGAGUUAUUUUUUUUAACUUCAUGAGUUAUUUAGUAUUUUAUUAUUUUCACAUGUGAUUAUUUUAUUGGGUUGUCUAAGUAAUAAAUUACACCUCAUUAGAAAUAUUCCACAUAUGAAAUUUCACAUCAUCCAGUUAACUUUUUUAACGACACUUUCAUCAAAACUGUUAAAAAAAGCAAUUUGAAAAAAAAUAUAAAGUUUAAUGGCCAGAAAAGGCUCAAAAAUACAAUCAGGGCCAUUUUGACAAAACAUGUAAAUGUUAGUGGCCAAAUUUGUCAUUAAGCCUAUUUUUUAUUACUCGAGCUUUGCUUAGGUGGAGUCAUAAAAAACCACCUACAGACACUUUACGCCCAAUCAUUCCGGAUAACGCUUGCAUCCUCUGUAUUACCGCGGCUGUUGGCAUAAAGUUAGCUGAUGCUUAUUCCCCAAAUACCGUCAUUGCUUCUUCUCCGGGAAAAAGAAGUUCACGACUCGUGGGCCUUCUACCUCCACACGGCAUUGCUCCGUCAGGCUUUCGCCCAUUGCGGAAAAUUUCCCAGUGUUGCCUCCUGUAAGAGUCUGGGUCGUGUCUCAGUCCAGUGUGGCUAAUCACCCUUUCGGGCCAGCUACUGAUCAUCGCCUUGGUAAGCUAUUGCCUCACCAACUAGCUAAUCAGACGUGAGCCCCUCCUCGGACGUAUUCUCUCUGCUUUCUAAUUGAGAUUGAUCAAAUUAAUUGCCAUUAGAGAGGCUUUCUCUUGACUGAAGAAUUAAGGUCUCGACAACGUUGUUGUGGAGUCAAAUUAUAGUGAUAUUAUUAUUGUGCUCAAUUCUUCCCAUUUUGAUAUUUCUGAAUUUGUCAACAAUUGUUCUUUAACUGGAUUAGAUGAACUACUAAUACGGCGGCUCACGAGCUUUGGUAGGGUCACUUUGUUCCAUGUUAAUUAUCAGGAGUGGGAAGUCCCACGUUUCUUUUAAUUUUUUCUAUUUUUGCUGCGGAUAGUGCUUCUUCUCGAUAGGGGAUUAAUUUGUCGGCUUAAAUACUAUUAUUACUUGCUUGUCUUUCUUUUGGUUAAAAGCAACCCUUUUUAUUAUAAAAUAUUAAUUCAACUCAAUCCAGUUUCAUAAAAAAAACCCAUCAAACUAAAUAAAUUAAAAAUAUUUAGAAAUUAAAUAUUGAAAGGCAUAAGACCUUAUUUGACCCUUUAACUUUAUAAAAGAAGAAGAAGUUAUUUUAGUAUUUUUUACUUUUUUAGUCCUUAAUCUUGUGUUAUUUGUCAAAUCACACAAAAAUAGACAAAAAGAUUAAUGUUUGUUAACUUUGCUGAUGUGGCAAACAUCAACAAAUAAUUUUAAAGGAUUAAAUCAAAAUUUUAUUAUUUUUAGGGGGCUAAAGUAUAAUUUUACCUUUACUAAUUUAAAAUUUUUAAAUAUUUAAAGGGCCAAAAUGAUAAAAUUUCUAUUUUAGUGGGGUUGGGGCCCUACCGGCCCCCCUAAAUCCACCUCUGUAUUU